rnacentral:lncRNA from 1 species
UAUCAUCAACUAGGAAUUCUAUCUUGAUGCAUUUGUUACACAGGGUAGUGGUGUUACAACUAUUGGUUUUCAACUCAGGCUCAAUAAGGCAAAAUGUGGAACCAUUGUUCUGGUAAGUAUAAUCAUCUAUAAAAUUUAAGUUUAAUUAUAUAUAAAAAUGAAUCACUCUCAUUUCAGUCCCUCAAUUUUUGAUGUUACUAAGUUAGUUCCUAAUAAAUAUAAAUUACCAUUUUGGUCCAAUUUUUUUCAAAAUAGAACCACAUCAACCCUUCAUUCUUCACCCGUUUGUUAACGUUGAUGGAGUUGAUCAAGGGCACAUUAAGUGCUGACAUGACCACAUGUGGUGAUUCCAAGCUCAAAAGUUAUCGUGCUCCUAUGUAUCGCUAGAUCCAAUAGGGAAAUCAAGACUACAUAAUUAUGGUUUGAAAAUAAUUAGAUUAGUUUGGUUGACUUUUGUUGAUUUGGAAAAUAUCGAUGGAUUUGGGAGAGUUGAUUUUAAUUGAUUUUGAAAUAUUAAUAAUAUAUCAUUAUUUUAAUUCAAUGGAACUAAUAGCUUAGAGACGGUGUCUUUGCAUUUUUAGAGAAGUUAGAGAUGACUCAAACCAUGACCUUACUAUAAGAAAUCCGUAAAAUUCAGUAAGUGGUAAGAUAGUUUUGAAUUAUUUUUAUAUGAAAUUAAUAGCUUUGAGGCAUAGACCUUUUUUCCCAUUUUCAGAGAAGUUAGAGAGAACUCGAAUCAUGACCUUACUAUAAAAAAACCAUAAAAUUCAUUUAGGAGAUAAAAUCAUUUUUAAUUAUUUUUUAUAUGGAACUAAUAGCUUUGAGUCAGUAUUGCCCGUAGACCUUCUUCCAAUAAAAUUACUUAUUUCGUCACACUUUGUAACAUUAUAUGUAAUGAAAAUUAGGACUCAUGUUAGUUUUGUGGCCUAUUGUUAUUUCCUCACAGGUUUGCAAACAUAAAUAAAUAAACAAAUCUAUAAAUUAAUACAAAGAUGGGAAAAUAAAAAACUUCAUGGUGCAGGUGGUUAGGAAGCAAAAAAAAUCAUGGCUUUUGUGAGGUGCAAAGAUUUGGACAAAGAGUUCUUUAAUUGUAUGAGCCAGUGAAAAACACAACUCCUUUAGCAGUGGGUAACAUCUUCUACGUCUUUGUCGUAAACCUCUUCCGUAUCUAUGCCUAAUGGAGAUAGUAACAUUUCUUUGCUCCAAUGGAACGAAACACAUGGGAUAUCCACGAAGAGGCUGGUUCAUGUGCAUAAAUUGUGGCCCCAAGUUUGGAAAAGAGAACAUUUUAGGGAUGACCCAUGUUUUGUUGUGAGUGGCUUACCCGUGAAGUAGUAGUGGAUAUAGUGCUGGAUAUAGCGGUGGAUAUAGUGGUGGAUAUAGUGGUGGAUAUAGUGGUGGCUAUAGUGGUGGCUAUAGUGGUGGUUAGCUUUGUUAUUGGUAUCGAAAGUGGUGUCUGAAACUCGUCCAUUGUAGGAAUGAAUGAAGUGAGGUUUUCAGGAUUUUUGUUUAGUAAAGUGAGAGUGAAAGUUUAUGAAGGUAGUAUAAAAAGGGGUUGANNNNNNNNNNNNNNNNNNNNNNNNNNNNNNNNNNNNNNNNNNNNNNNNNNNNNNNNNNNNNNNNNNNNNNNNNNNNNNNNNNNNNNNNNNNNNNNNNNNNUCCAAUUUUUUCUAGAAACAUUCAAACUUAAAACAACGCCAUUUUGUAUCAUCUUCUUCCCCUUCUCCAACUCCAACAAAAACACAUAUUUUAGUAUCGCAAGAUUUCUGUAAGUACCAUAUUAGUCCCUAGUGAUAUAUACGAAAUUUUGAAGCCUAAAUUGGGUAUCUUCACCUCAGAUUUUCACCCUAAAAUAAUUUUAGGUCUCAUAAGGGUAAUUUGGAUCCAAGAAGGGUUAAUGCUUCUUGAAAUUACAAAGAGAAUGGGAAUCAGGAACUAGGUACAACUGAGGAAAAUUUUGAUGGAAAAGGCUCGGAAUGAUAUCCAUAAAAAGCUUGAGGAAUGAAUGUUUUCUUCAUUAUCAAGGAAUUUANNNNNNNNNNNNNNNNNNNNNNNNNNNNNNNNNNNNNNNNNNNNNNNNNNNNNNNNNNNNNNNNNNNNNNNNNNNNNNNNNNNNNNNNNNNNNNNNNNNNAGGAAUUUAGAAAAACCAAAAAAUAUUAUUGCAAAUACAAAGCCAAAUUUGAAUCUCUGAAAUUUUAUUUUAUAUUUUUAUUUAUUAAAAAUAAUUACUGGAUGAAGCUUUUCUUGAUAUCAAUUAUGAAGCUUUUGUUGAUAUUCAUUAUGAAGCUUUUGUUGUUUUUGAUGUAAAUUUAUGGGAUUGCACUUCUGGUUUUACUGUUUGGAGUUCCCUUCNNNNNNNNNNNNNNNNNNNNNNNNNNNNNNNNNNNNNNNNNNNNNNNNNNNNNNNNNNNNNNNNNNNNNNNNNNNNNNNNNNNNNNNNNNNNNNNNNNNNUUCACUUACUUAAUCAAAUAAAAAGAACACACCAGAAAUGAGAGUAAUAACCUUUCAACAAAUUGGCACCUUGCGAGGGACGAUUUGUUGAGAGAGGAAAAAUAAACCCUCUCGACGAAAAUUUCUUUCAACAAGGACUAGUAGGUGGUGCAAUGUGUGCAUCUUAGUUAGAUUAAUGAUGGAACAUUUUGAAAUUACCACGAAUUGAUCGACUCUUAUGUUUGUGUGUGCUAAAAUGUAAUCGUACAUUUCGUAACAUUGGAUUGUCUGUAAUGAAAUGUAUAACUUAAUCCUCCUGAAAACUACCAUCCAUGUGAAGAAUAUUUCAAGAUUCUUGAAGAUUCCAAUAUUUUAUUAACUCAAGACUAAGAUUUAUAUUCUUCGUUCACUUGAGUAAUGAAUUGCACUUUUGAUUUUAUAUAAUAUUCAAUCAAGCUAUUAUGGACCAAUAUUCUAGAAUUAAUCCACCUAGAAUAAAACGGAAUCACAUUAAAUUUUGGAUUCUCAUUCUCAAGAGUCAACAUAUUAAUAGCCUCCCACCUAUUGGUUAUGAAACUUUGAAAAUGCGAAGUUUAAUAUGGCAAGUUUUCUUGUAUACAAUAUAUGUAUGUAUGUGAGUUGUAAAUAAAUGUCCCACAUAUGUUAGUUUUAAAAUAUAAUCUCAUUUCAUUCGUACAAAAGGAAAUGACUUCUAAGGGAUUGAAUCACCAAACUAUCUUACACUUUGGCUAAUCACUUAUUUCAGGCCAAAUGUUUCCUAAUUUAACUUUUUUAUUUGGUGUCUCUUCGAGGGCUGCUCCUUGGUGAUUUAUUUUUAAUAGUAAAAAAUUAAAAUUCCAUAAUAAUCCAAUUUACUAUAUUCAUCAUUUCUUCUUAUUUCUAUCAUUUCGUUAUUUAUAUGAUUUAUAAUAUUGUCAUAAUAUUUAGUUUUUUACUCUAUUUUAUAUGUGAAUUUAAUAUUUAUCUGAAAUUGUUUAUUUCACAAGUUAUAUUUUUUAAUAAGUUUCUAAUGGAUUCUAUUUUGGUACGUAAAAAUCAAUUUUGCAAUAUGAUAAAAAUAUUUUAUGCAAAUUUUUACAACAUUUUGCCUAACCACGACCCCAAUGUAGCUUAGCAAUGACUUGCCACCCUUUGAGUUUAAUGAUUGGCCUUUUGAGUUCCAUCAAACUUCUAUCUUCACAUCCUUACUUCAUGCCCGAAUGACACUCUUCAUGGAAGUCAUUCCACGUGGAGUUCGUUUUUGAGCAAUGAUUUGCUUGUUUUGUGGAGUCGGUUUAGUUUCGUCACCACUAUGAGAACCAUGAUCACCACUUUGGGAAGCCAUUGAUGAAGUUUAUUGAGGGUUUAUGCGAGUAUGCGGGUUUAUGAGAGUAUGAGGGUUUUAUGAGAGAAUGAUCUUUCUUUUCGAUUAAGUUUGAGAGUGUUGAGGUAACUGAUUCACCUUUUAGAUAUUUAAACCGUAGUAACAAUUCAACAAUGCUUUUUGUAGAUGGCAUUGUUAAUAAGACAUCUUCAACAGUGCAUAUUAACAGUAGCGCUGUUGUAUUGAUAAAGUGACGCAUAAUCACUCAACCAUUAAUAUUUCAAGAAACGAAGAGACCCAUAACGACUCAACCAUUAAUGUUUUUAUAUUUAAAAUGUAUAAAUCAACAGUACAUAAUUAUGAAAGUGUUGUUACUUUAUCAUAUUCAAAAGUGCAUAUUUAAGGAUGUGAUGUGGAAUAGAUGUACACUAACAUCGUUUUCUAUAACAUAUGUUGUUAAACAUAACUCAUUCAAGUAAGCGCUAACGUUAUUGAUGUUCAACAGCGUUGUUUCAAGAAUGCUUUGUUGAAGUUACUAAUAUUGACAAUNNNNNNNNNNNNNNNNNNNNNNNNNNNNNNNNNNNNNNNNNNNNNNNNNNNNNNNNNNNNNNNNNNNNNNNNNNNNNNNNNNNNNNNNNNNNNNNNNNNNCAAUACUUUCUUUAAUAUGCGUUGUUGAUGUUCUUCUGCCUCGUUUUCAACAGCGUCGUUCAAAUUUGAAGUGUGGAAUGGUCGUUGUUAAUUAUGAUAUUUGGCGUAGUUGUUAUGUAUGACAUUGCAUCGUCUUCCUCGGGACUACUAGCAUAUGAGAUAUUUAUCUCCUGUGUCAUGGAUCCUCUUGGGAUCAACACUUCUAGUAUGGAGAUUAUUGUUGAGAAUCCUAGAGAGCAUAUGGUCAAUGAGAAUCUCAUUCACACGAUGAGUAUUUACAAUUUUGUAGGUGAAUUGAUGUAUCAAGAGUACCAUAGGAAUACUAUUAAUUUGGNNNNNNNNNNNNNNNNNNNNNNNNNNNNNNNNNNNNNNNNNNNNNNNNNNNNNNNNNNNNNNNNNNNNNNNNNNNNNNNNNNNNNNNNNNNNNNNNNNNNUAUACCUGAUGAGGAAGAAGGUGGUGAGCAAGGUGAGCAAAACCAAGAACAACAAAAUGACGGGGCUUCUAAUAUGCCUCAUGGAUCUUCAUUUUGUUUGGCUCAUAUGGAUGCCAUGGAACAAUGCAUGGAUGAUCUUUAUUAGGUCUUAAGAUGUUUACUUAGAAAGAAUAUAGACUAGGAUGAACCCUAAAGGAAGUCUGACAAGCUAAACUCAAUCAUAACUAAAAUGAGACUUACAUGCAUANNNNNNNNNNNNNNNNNNNNNNNNNNNNNNNNNNNNNNNNNNNNNNNNNNNNNNNNNNNNNNNNNNNNNNNNNNNNNNNNNNNNNNNNNNNNNNNNNNNNAUACAUGAUUUACAUGCACAUGCAUAAAUACAUGAUCAUAUGAUUUUGAUGCAUUUAAAAAGAGUUUUAAAUCAUACAUCAUUCAAAGGCAUGCGUCAUAAUUUUACAAAUCAUGUAGGAGGUUCAGAUCACAUUGAAAUAACUUUUAGAAAAACCUUUUAUCAAUUAAGGGUUGUUAUAAUUUCUGGUUUCUUGUAUUUUUAAAAAUCGUUAAUUGAUUGAAUAUAGGGAUAAUCGAUUAUAUACAGCAGAAAAAAAAAAUUUGUAUUUUAACCCAAGUUUUUCAUAUUGCUUAAUAACAUACAUAUCAUUGAGGUUAGAACACACACAAAAAAUAAAGAGUUUUCACAAAGUUCUGAAAAUCAUUGCUCUUUCACUUUCAUAUCUUUAGAGAGAUUUUCAAAGUGUUCUGUUGAAAAAGAGAGAAAAGAGAGAAUCUUUAGAUAUAUUUACAAAGAGCUUAAUUUUCAUAUCUUUUGUAAAGAAACAUUGCAUCUCGUAUUUUUUAUAUUCUGAGUUGUGACAAUUGUAGAAGGGUUCUUAGAUUCUAGAUGAGUGAAUAUUCUAUACACAUAGUGGCAUCAAUAAUUUGAAAGAUUUACACAAGGCGUAAACAUAUUCUCUUGGUGUGUUUAUUAUCACCAUUUAUAGAGAAUUGGUUUGGGAAAUCCUAGAUGUGGUUAGGUAUUAGAGAUUGUGUUUACAAGGCAAGAAUUCCUGGGUAGAGUGAGAAAUCAAUUGGGUCCAGAAUCGUGAACGGUGUGGUAUCCUAGUAGGCGAGUUGAGUUGUUAAAACCGAGUUUAGGGCUCAAUGGAUCCAACAAGGAAUUUCUUGUGUGUUGUAUUGGAAAUGUGUAUCUAAGAAACAAUUUUUUUCCAAUAGUGAAGAAAAAUAUCCCUAGAUCAGGAGGGGAGGCCUGGAUGUAGUUUGCAAGUGGACCUACAAACGAACCAGGAUAAAAGCCAUGUCUCAUUUUUCAUAACCUAUAACUCUUUACAUUUUCGUAUUACAUGAGUUACUUAACUUGACAAGCAUAUCAUUCUGAUUCUGAGUUAUUUGCAUAGUUUGUUCUGUGAAUUUACUGUUCUUAAUCAUCUUUAAAAGUGCAUAUAAGUUUAGUUAAAUCUUGACAAUCUUGGUGGUCAAAGAAAACUGUUUUUAUAGAACAAGAUAUGAAUAAUCGAUUAUUUGCACAAUGAGUUCAUCGAUUAUAGUUGGUGUUAAUCUAUUAAACAAUGAGUGAAUUUAUAAAAUAUGUUUGUUAAUCGAACAACAAUAAUUGUAUAUCGUAUCACCUAUUCAACCCCUCUAGUUGAGUUACAGAGCCAUGUGGGACCUAACAAUCAUGUGGAGAUCUUUCUUCCAAGGGAGCAGAAUCCAACAUUAAUCCAAUUGUGAAUGAAGCCAAAUGACAUUGUUAGAAUAAAUUAGACCAACACUAAAUGAAACCAACCAGAAGUUACUAUCAAACAGGAUUUCAAAGAAGGCAAUGAAGAGAUGCAGAAAUAAGUGUUGAUUGGUAUCUUUUUAUUUCAGCUACUCGUUCAUAAACAGGAAGCUUGUUAAAAAUUGACCAAUCACACAAAAUUUGGAGGAAAAGAUCAAUCAAGUGGGAGUUACAAAUGAAGAUGACAAUAAAUAGAUGCAAAAUGUUAUACUUUCUGCUACACAAUCAACAUAAUUAGGCAGCAAUGACGAACCAGAAUAAUGAGGUAAUCAAGGUAAUCAGGGAACGUUACUUUGGCAGCACAAAAGGUUUUCACAAAAAUCAUAACCACUAUAAGAAUAGAGAAUUUCACAUACAAUAAGAGGACACUGAAAAUUACGUUCACACAUACAACACACACAUAUACACAAAGAUAUCAUACCACAAUUAGAAAGCAACCCUUACACAUAUUCAUAAGCAAUAAAAGGAAAUAGACAACAUUACAGAGAUAAAAGCUGCAAGCAAUAAGCACUUUGAAUACACAUGCACCUACAACACAAGUUAUCACAUAUCACAUAUAUAAUAGAGGCAAAAGACACAAUUAUCAGAAAUCACAUACAUACACCUCAAAUCAUGCAUACACAGCAAGAAGCCAUUCUAAUAGGCAUAUCACACAUACACACAAUAUAUCAAUCAAGGAACACAACAUGUAGAACAUAAAAGAAGAAUCAAUUCGAGAUGACGAAGAAGUGAAGAAUCCAACCAAGGUAGAAAAGGUGCAAUGAAUAUCCAAAAAUAGGAAUGCAAGGUUUAAAGGAAAGGCUUAUUUUCAGGUAAGCAUUUUAUCCUAUUUAUCUUAACAAUUAUAAGAAAAUACAUCUCCGUCAUGUUUGUGUUAUAUAUAUCAAAAUAAAGACAUACAAAUUCUAUUUGCAUCCAUCCUUAAAGUAAAGAAUUUUACCUCGUGACGACAUCAUCUCCUAUGUGAAUUCUCUAUCCGGCUUAGCCUUAAGUGACCCUAUGGUGGUCCCAAGGCGUAAUUCUUGAGCCAACGUCAAUACCGACAUCACACUAUCGUUUGUCGUUCCAAUGUAAUGACUCGAAUACCUCGAGAGAUAUUUUUAUUCCCUUCAAGAGCGUGAAUCAAUUCGGUCCACCAUAAGCGAGAGUACCUGAAAUCACCCUUACCCUUGUAAUACUCUUACGAAAGAACCCUGUGGUUUCCUCAAAAAAUGGAACCCAUUCAUGAAGAGGGAGGAAUGGUGGAGAUUCUCAUUCGAUUCAUGUCAUGGAGAAGAAGAAUAAAGAAAUGGAGAAGAUGGAGGAAAAGGGAUAAAGUGAUUUUAACCUGCACUUCGAACCACCACAGUGGAAGGUGGUCCUCAUUGUGAAGGUUUCUGCCGCCAAUCUUGGCCUCCGUCCAUACAAGCUAGCUAUCAUUGCCUCCCAUUGGUGAGAACCAAAGUCGUUGUCGUUGGAAUUGAAGAGAAGAAAGAGGACGAGAUUAGGGAUGCUCCAUGUGUCAUGGACGUGUUAUUGGUAAGAAUAAAUAUAUUUAAAUUAAAAUUUAAUUAUUAAAUAUUUUUCUAACAAAUCAGAAGCUCAUGGAACAAUAUGUAGUGGCACAAACAGUGAGACAACAGAUGUGCUCUGGUCAUAUCUUCGGUUCCCUUUGUGCAAUUGUCAUUCAGUUACCCUUUGUUUUGCUUAGACUUUAUAUUUUUAUUAUUAUGUACUUCACAUAUAUUCUUUAUCCAUAUCAUGUAUAUUUUGCAUCAUUUAUGUUUUGCUUUUAUGCCUUAUUAUUCCUUGUUAUCUACUUGACAAUUUUCAUGUCCCACAAAAAAUAUUAAUUAGUUAGUAUUCAUUUUUAUACAUUUGUAUACUUCUCGUUUUGAACUAUUUGUUUUUCUAAUGAAGUAGAAUCUAAUAAAAAUUAUAUUUUGAUAAUAAGAAUAAAUAAAAACAAUUUUGUCACCUAAAUGAAUUUUAUGAAAUUUUUAUCGUAAGGUCAUGGUUCAGUCGUGUUUAACUAAUCUAAAAAAUGGAAGAAGGUCUAUGACCAAUACUGUCUAUAAGCUAUUAGUUCCAUAUAAAAAAAUAAUUAAAAAGAUUUUAUCUUCUAAAUGAAUUUUAUGGAUUUUUUAUAGUAAGAUCAUGGUUACAAAAAAUAAUUAAAAACUAUUUUAUCACCUAAUUGAAAGCAACUUUUAUAGUAAGGUCAUGGUUUUAGUCAUCUCUAACUUAUCUAAAAAUGGAAAGAUUACUAGAUUAGGGAAGAUUGGUCAAAAUUUGAACUUAAUAUUAGUGAUUAGUUUAGAGAAUACAAUGUAUAGAUUACUAGAUUAGGGAAUAUAAUGUAUUAUUUUGGUUUAACCAAUUAAUCAAAACAAUACCAUUUUUGUUCUAGUAUUGUAAUUAUACUUUAUAAUUUCUAUUCUGAAUACAAUUGACCAGUGAAUGCAUUUUUUGUUCUGUGUUGUUUAUUCUUUUUAAGUGUUCUAUGUUUUGGUUUGAUGAAUGUGUUAUUAUUAUAGUUUUAGUGUUGUGGAUGCAAAUGUGCUAUUGUUACAAGUUUUGGUGUUGUGUUAUGUUGUUCUUAUAUUUGUUUACUAAUUGUUGGAUUCGGAGCUUUAGCUUCUUGAGCUGAUUUGGAAAGGAGAAUGUUUUCUCUGCUAGGGCAAAAUACUAGAAAUCUCCAAACUUCUUGGAACUUAUAAUUAUUCCUCUGUUUGCUUUCUCUUCUCCAACUUUCUUGGAUUCGGUCCCAUGGCCAAAAUGCCCACUGCUGAACCCCUCAUUCCUUGAAAUUUCUUAGGUGACUCCUCUACCUCACCGGGGAAGUCCAAUCCAGAUCCCAUACUACCCGUGAUAAAGUCAUUUGCACAAGCAUUAAAAAACUCAAGUGACAUUGCACUCUCACAACUGCCUCAACCUUGCAUUAAAGGUGAAGCCAUUGCUAUAAAGAUCCUUGAAGAGGACUAUCAAGAAGGUCUUAGGCGGUGCAAAUCUCACCUACAUGGGAGAAUCAUCCUUUCUAAAGGAGACACUCCUCUCAAGUUUGAGGAAAUCAGAGCUAAGUUGGUCUCGCUAUGGAGUAACAUAGGGAAAUGGAGCAUGGUCUCCUUGGGACGAGGCUACUAUGAUUUCUCAUUCUCAUCUCUGGAGGACAUGAGAAGUGUUUGUGCUGUAGGGGCUUGGAGUCUUCGCCCAGGUUUUCUUAGAUUGUAUCUAUGGUCUCCAGAUUUCAAUCCAGCUUUGCAGAAGUUCUCCCAUGUUCAAUGUUGGGUAAAAAUUGUAGGUUUACCCCAGGAAUAUUGGAGCCCAAGAAUCAUCUUCUCCAUUGCAGGGGGAAUAGGAACACCAAUCUCGCUGGAUGAGGCCACAAACAAUCGCACAUUUGGACAUUUUGCAAGGGUGUUAGUGGACAUUGAUCUGAAGACUGAUUUGCCUAACCAAAUCCUAGUGGAAAGAGAAGGUUAUGCCUUCUUUGUUGAGCUUGAGUAUGAAAAGCUUCCCCAAUUCUGUAAUGGUUGUCAAACCAUAGGCCAUUUGGUCACUAACUGCAGGAAAAGGAUGAAGGAAGCACCUGUAAAUGUCCCUCUGCAAAAGAAGCAGGUGGCUGAGAAGGCUUCCAAGAAGAGCACAGGAAAGGAUUUUGUAAUAAACCUGGAAAUAGAUCACAAUGAAGAGAUUAAUCUUCAAAAUGUUACAAGAGUUGAGGACACUCCAGUGGUAUCGCAAAGUGCAGAGGACAUGGCUCACAUUGAUGAAAAUGUGGUUGAGGACAUGGCUCACAUUGAUGAGACUGUGGUUGAGGACUCUUUACCUGGUUUAGAGCAAAAGGACAAUGACCCCUUAGUUGGUCUCGAGCUCAAUGAGGAAGUGGAAUUUCAUGUGGUGGAAGCAAUGGAUAAUCCUAGAGCUGAACAUGACAUGAGGUUGCUUGGCAGGCUCUAGGAUGAUGAGGGUAUUGAUGAAGAAGUGGAUGAUGAAAGUAUAUUCAUAGCUGUUAUUUCCAGGUCUCAAAAGAAAAAACAGANNNNNNNNNNNNNNNNNNNNNNNNNNNNNNNNNNNNNNNNNNNNNNNNNNNNNNNNNNNNNNNNNNNNNNNNNNNNNNNNNNNNNNNNNNNNNNNNNNNNAUUCAAAUUCCAAAAAAUGUGGCUGCACCAUCCUGACUGUGCUAAAGUGGUGGAGGAAAUCUGGAAGCAGGACAUCUUUGCUUGUAAGAUGUCUAUCUUGACUCAGAAGCUAAAGCUGUUAAGGAACAAGCUCAAGGUAUGGAAUGUUGAAAUCUUUGGCAUGGUGCAACAUAAUGUCUAGCUGGCCUUAGAAGCAGUGGAUUCUAUCCAGGCAAAUAUAGCUUUACAUGGUCCUAAUGAUCAUAAUUUGGAGGCUGAUAGGGAUGCUCAGCAAUCCCUUUUGCAGGCUUUAACAAUUGAGGAAGAAUUCUGGAGGCAAAAGUCUAGGAUUAAUUGGCAUAACAGUGGAGAUAGAAACACUAGUUUCUUCCAUAGAGUCACAAAGAUCGGGAACUCUACCAAGUCCUUAACUGUGCUCAGAUCAGGGGGGUGCUUAAUUACUGAUCAAACAGAGAUUGAGAACUUGGUGUUGAAUUAUUUCCAAAAUCUAUUUGCUGCUCCUAACCACAUUGUCCAUAAUCACAUGAUCAACAAUGUAGUUCCUACUGUGAUCACUGACACUGAGAAUUCUAGGCUCUCAUCCACCCCUUCUCAUGAUGAAAUCAAGUCUGCUGUUUUUGGCAUGAAUGGGGAUGGAGCACCAGGGCCUGAUGGUUUUGGUGGGAGUUUCUAUCAGGCUUUCUGGCACAUAGUAGGGCCUGAUGUGUGUAGAGCUACUACUCAAUUCUUCACUCAGGACUACAUUCUGCCUAACAUGAACUCUAAUAAUGUGGUGCUAAUCCCAAAACUCACAGGAGCAGAUAGAAUUGAAGAUUUCAGACCAAUUGCUAUGGCUAAUUUCCAAUUCAAUAUCAUUUCUAAAGUGCUUGCUGAUAGGUUGGCAACCAUUGCUCCUAGGAUUGUCUCAACUCAGCAAAGAGGCUUCAUCAAAGAUAGGCAAAUCAAUGAUUGUAUAUGUCUAGCAUCUGAGGCAAUAAACCUGCUGGAUCACAAAGUUUUUGGUGGAAACUUAGCUAUUAAAAUUGACAUCAAGAAAGCUUUUGAUACCAUUGAUUAGGAUUUCUUGCUGCUUACCCUUCAUAAGCUUGGUUUCAGCCACAAGUUCAGGAAUUGGAUUAGAAUCAUUUUACACUCUGCAAGGUUAUCCAUUAAUGUUAAUGGCAAAAUGGUUGGUUUUUUCAAGUGCACUAGAGGUGUGAGGCAAGGAGAUCCUCUUUCUCCUCUCCUUUUUUGCAUUGCUGAGGAUGUCCUUAGCAGAGGGCUAUCUAAGCUGAGGGUUGAGGGGCAAAUUAGCACUAUUGAGGGCCCUAAAGGAAUUAAAACUCCUUCUCAUGUGCUCUAUGCUGAUGACAUCUUUAUAUUCUGCAAAGGAAAGAAAACUGAGCUUCGCAAAAUCAACCAAUUGCUCAUCAAUUACUCAGAAAUAUCUGGUCAAUGUGUCAAUGCCUCUAAAAGUAAGUUCUAUUCAGCUUCUUCUUCUCACAUGAAAAUUGCUUCUAUAGCUCAGGUUCUUGGGUUUUCUGCUGGCAGUUUGCCCCUAACCUACCUUGGAGUUCCUAUUUUCUUGGGGAAACCAAGAAGGAUUCAUUUACAAAAAAUUGCUGAUAGGAUAAUUAGCAAGCUGGCUACUUGGAAAGGGGCUUUGCUAUCAAUCAUGGGCAGGGUUGAGCUAGUCAGAUCUGUAAUUCACAGCAUGCUGCUUUAUAGUUUCAAUAUUUAUGCUUGGCCUAACUCUCUUCUUAAGCACAUUGACAAGUGCAUAAGAAACUUUGUGUGGUCUGGUAACAUUGAGGUGAGGAAGCUAGUCACUGUGGCUUGGAAAAAUGUUUGCUUGCCCUUCAAGGAAGGAGGUUUGGGUAUCAGAUCUCUAAAGAAGAUAAAUCAUGCUGCUAUGCUCAAGCUUGCCUGGGAAAUGGCCAACUCCAAUCAUGAUUGGGCUUUUUUUUAGGAAUAGGUUUGGAUCUAAUCCUACUCCUUCAAGCAGAUACUUCAAAUCCUUAAUAUGGCCUGCUAUCAAAGCAAACUGGCACAACUUGCACAACAAUUCAAUCUGGAUAAUUGGUGAUGGGAAUAAAACAAACUUCUGGCUUGAUAACUGGUUAGGAGAACCAUUAGUGGAAACUCUAAGCAUUCCUACUCAGUUCCACUCUGAUUUGAGGGCCUCUGUUGCUGAUUUCAUCAGAAAUGAAGCCUGGAUCAUUCCUCAAACCCUGAUAAACAAUUACCCUCAAAUCACAUCAAAGUUUGGCAGCAUAAUUAUCCAUAGUGAUACAGACAAGCUAGUUUGGAAGAAUUCCCCUGAUGGGUUACUAUCUGCCAAGCUUGCCUAUCUGUACAUGAAUCCUGGUUCAGUCCAGAGCAAUUGGGGUAAAGUCAUCUGGUCUGAUGCCAUCCCUCCUUCUAAAUCCUUUAUAACUUGGAGAUUGAUCAAUAAUAAGAUGCCAACUGAUGACAAUCUUCAGAGACGUGGNNNNNNNNNNNNNNNNNNNNNNNNNNNNNNNNNNNNNNNNNNNNNNNNNNNNNNNNNNNNNNNNNNNNNNNNNNNNNNNNNNNNNNNNNNNNNNNNNNNNAAAGAUUAUGAGGAUGAAGUGAAAUCAUUUAUUAGGUUUGAAAUUGAGAAUGCUGAAAACCCUAAUAGAAUUGUAUGUCUUUCUUUAAAAUGUUGUUACUCCAAUCAAGUUACUCUAAUCGAGUUAAAUAUUAAUUUAGUUGCCAUGGUAUUGAUCAGAGUUGCACAUUUUGGACAAGGCAUGGAGAGAAAACAGAUAAUGAGACAAAAUGUGUUUAUACUAAUAAGAUCUUUACAAAAGAUAUCACCAUACAUGCAUGUGAAGGCAAUCGUUUCGAAGAUAUGGAAAAUCUUUUCGAAGAAGAUCUUCAAGAUUGUCUUGAGAUGUUUAAGCGGUUGAUAAGUGAUGCACAGAAACCAUUGUAUGAUGGUUGUAUUAAGUUCACAAGAUCAUAUAAGUUGAAAUCUGUUAAUGGAUGGAGUGAUAAGAGUUUCACUAACUUACUUGUACUUCUAAAGAAUAUGUUGUCUAAGGUUAUUGUGCUACCUUGAACGUGUGAUGCUAAAUAAAUGUCAUGCUCCAUUGGAAUGGACUACAAUAAAAUAAAUGCUUGUGAAAUUGAUUGCAUCUAAUUUUUUAAUGAUUAUGCUUUCUUAAAGUUCUAUCAUAAAUGUAAUGUCUAGCGAUAUAAGAAGGAGGACUCAACUCCUAGAAAGGUUGUAUGGUAUUUUCCCAUAAAAUCAAGAUUUAAGCACAUGUUCAGCAAUGCAAAAGAUGCAAAGCAUUCGACAUGACAUACAUAUGAAAGGAUUAAAGAUGGUAAGCUUCAACAUCCUGAAGAUUCACCUCAAUGGAGAAAAUUUGAUGAUGAUUGUACUAGUUUUAGUCAAUAAUCAAGAAAUCUACACCUUGUAUUUUCAAUUAAUGGAUUUAACCAACACAAUGAAUAAGAUAACUUGAAUUUCAUUAGAAAAAUAAUCCAUUGCUAGUUGAGUUUCUCCUAGUUUCUUGGUUAAACCAAGGUCAUUUCUUAUCAAGGUUCUCUUCCUUGUGGCGAAAUACAUUAGGCUUAUCAAGCAAUCAAGCUUUUGGCACCUUCAUCGUCCUAUCUAAUCCAUCUUCUUCUAUCAACUUCAACCAUCAACCACACACGCCCAAACAAUCCCCACACAUACAACCAUCACCAAAUAUCCAUACACAAUUUCCCUAAACAAUCCACAAACCCACUCAACCUUCACCCCAAAACCCACGGCCAAACACACUCCAUAAACAACCAAAAACCAAACCACAUAAUCAUACUCCACGGCCAAACAAAACCCAAAACAAAAAAACCAAUCAAAAAUGUAACAAGUUUCAAAGUGCAAAAAAAUUCCAUAUUUUUCUCAAAGACUUACAUUCAAGAACGACCAAAACAAAAUCUGAAUCUCCUCAAAAAGGAUUCACCCCAGCAUUGUUUUUAAAAGUACAGAGUAGACUAAAAUUGUAAGCAUAAUAACAAAACACAUAUACAAUCAAUUAUAUGAAUACAUUAUAAUGAAAUUCAUUAAUCUGUUAGAAUCAACAUUUCAUCAAGAAAUAUAGAUUAUUGGCUAUUAAAUUGUAGACCAUGUCACUAGCUAUAAUAUUGCGGUUGUAGUGACUACCACAGUCCCAUCAUACUACAAUUGCAGUUUGAUAUCGAACCAAGAUGACAAUGACAUAACCAUGUGAGGUUGCAAAACUACCACAUUGGACCACAUGAAAUUAAAAAAAAUAUUUUAAUCGCAAACAAGUUCACAUUACAAUGGCUUGCGUAAUGAUUUUAAUUGCAAUAAAACCAUGACCACAAUUACAAUACAAAUUUAAGAAAAAUGCUAGGAUUAAUUAAUGAAAAUAAUCACAUCACCUCAGUUGUAAAACAAGACAAGAACUUUCAGAAUAUGUGUUAUAUUGAGGUCUCUAAGAAACUUGAGUGUAAAAACAAUAUGGCCAUCUUCUUGUACAUUACUUCACCUAUGAUCAACAUGCGCUUCCUCUAGGGUUUCGAUAUUGAUAAUGGAAAAAUUAGUUUAGGUAGUUCCCAUUGAGAUACUAAGAUACUCUAGAUAAGGUGUGUCUAUUAUAGUAUCCUUAGAUUCAGAGUAAAUUCUAUCUGUUAAGGUUAAAUUCUUCAACAAAGAAGGCACGCAAAGUUUCGAUGUUUUUCAAUCCAUUGUAAUAAAUGUUAGAUACAAUGUUUUAAGAACUGGGCAGCUUGAGAAAAGCGUAUUAAUAGCCUGAUCCAUAUAAUCUAUUUCAAAAUAUAGGAUGUUGAGAGAAGGUAGAGAAACUAAUGAAAGUUGUUCCAAAAACAUGGAAUCGGUGAAUGUCAAUGAGACGAGUCCACUGCAAGUGAAAAUGCUACUAGGUACAGAGAAGAUUAUAAAAAGAUCUACACCAUAGGAAUAGUCAUAUUGGAGGUUAAGGUUGAAUAUCUCUAGGUAGGGUCCAGUGGUAGCUUUGAUGCACGUAAUCAUGGAACAAUCCAUAGUUUCUAAAAACAUUGUUGUGAGACAAAACCUUCAAAUGUCUCAUGUCAGCGCAUGAUGUUGAAAGGUUUUUCUGGGGGAAGUUUUCCCUUCUCAACAAAUCGUCUUGGCAGUAGUGCCAAUUUGUUGAAAGCGGAAGUUCCCUCAUUUUAGUGUGUUUCCUUUUUAUUUGAUUAAGUAAGUGAACACAGUUUUAUUCUUUGUUCACCAUCUCGGCUUUGUUGAAAUAAAUUCCAACACAGGUAUAAUGGUUUCAAGAAUAUUCCAGUUACAACUUACUUCAUUAAUAAUCAUGUGAAUAAGUUAUUCAUUCUUUCCCCUAUCUUGGCUUUGUUAGAAUAAAUUCCAAUGCCGGUAUAAUGGUAUCGAAGCAAUCCCCUAUUACAUAAUUCUUAAGUACCUUUGAAUACCAUCUUUGUUUUGUGGAAUAAGUUCCAACACCGGUUUAAUGGUAUUCUAAUGUACAAAACUGAUGAAUAGUUAGUUGUUAGAAACAAAUAAAUAAAUAAAGAACAAAAGAAUAAUAAAUUUAAGUGACAUUUAUUUACUUACUCCCUUUCAGGUUUAUUUUAUUAACAAACCAAACUUCUGCCUUAAGAAAGGUUGGUAUUAAAGAAUAAAUAAAUUGUGGAAAGUAAAUAACAAUAAAUAAAAGUUAGUGAGUUAGUUUCAUCACUUUUAUAUAUUAAAAGGUCUUUUUGUUGAAAGUGUUGUUCGGUGUUUAUUUUAGUUGGGAGUUUUCUCCUCUCAACAAAUCGUCCUGACAGCAGUGUCAAUUUGUUGAAAGAUUAAUACCCUCAAUUUUGUUAUGUUCCUUUUGCAAGUAAGAGAACUCGGUUUUAUUCUUUGUUCGUCAUCUCGGCUUUGUUGAAAUAAAUUCCAACGCCGGUAUAAUGGUUUCAAGAAUAUUCCAGUUACAACUUACUUUCUUAAUAAUCAUGUAAAUAAGUCAUUCAUUCUUUGCCCCAUCUCGGCUUUGUUAGAAUAAAUUCUAACGCCGAUAUAAUGGUAUUGAAGCAAUUACCUAUUACCUAUUACCUAUUACCUAUUACAUAAUUAUUAAGUACCUUUGAAUACCAUCUCGAUUUUGUGGAAUAAUUUCCAACAUCGGUUUAAUGGUAUUCUAAUAUAUAAAAGUGAUGAAUAGUUAGUUGUUAGAUACAAAUAAAUAAAUAAAGAACAAAAUAAUAAUAAAUUUANNNNNNNNNNNNNNNNNNNNNNNNNNNNNNNNNNNNNNNNNNNNNNNNNNNNNNNNNNNNNNNNNNNNNNNNNNNNNNNNNNNNNNNNNNNNNNNNNNNNUUUUUAGGUGAUCAAUCUAAAAAGAGCAUUAAGAAUUUCUCAAACAAGUAAAAUUAAUCAAAGCAUCAACUUGAAUGAUUAAAAUUCAAAUCUUUUAGAAUAUAAGAAGAAGUAGAAAUACAUAACCAUAUUCAAAAGAAAUUGUUAGGAGCAUGAGCCAUCCAUCCAAGGAUUGGAUGCUUUGAGUUCCAAAUGAGAUUACAAAAUUGAUUUAUGUAUCUCAUUUGCCUUCUCCUUUUCUUCUCUUGAAUUCUAAACUAAAAUUACAAACUUACUUGAAAUAAAGCUCCUAAGAACUAAGAACAAGAAGAUAGAACUUCAGAGAAUUUCUAGGCAGAAUGUGUAAGAUGUAUUUUGUGUUAUUGAUUCCUUCUUUUGCUCGAAUGGAAUGCCCUAUUUAUAGAAAUUCUUCUGAGUCGCUGAGCUGCUUGUCAGCCCCACUAAGGAGCUGACCAAACCCUUCAGCAUGGGUUUGGUUCCUUGAUCAAGAAGCUUUGUCACCUCCUUAUGCGUGACUCAUCGAAGCUAGUUGUGAGCUAUGAAACCAGCUAUUGUGAGCUACUCUGAAAAGCCUAUGGUCGGCUACUUGAGGUGAGGUCAUUGGUGACUUCAUGGUUUGCUUGAUGGAUAAGUCAAGUUUGGGUGCAUACCGCUUAGCACACUUGUUGCACUACUAAGCUGUUUGUUCAACAGCUUUGACCGUGAUAACUAGGACAUGACCUGGUACUUGCUGAUCUGGUCAAGAGUCUGAUUCUCCGCUAAGCUGCUUGGUUGGACUGCGAAGCUGCUUGUUCAGCAGCUUGGGCAUGNNNNNNNNNNNNNNNNNNNNNNNNNNNNNNNNNNNNNNNNNNNNNNNNNNNNNNNNNNNNNNNNNNNNNNNNNNNNNNNNNNNNNNNNNNNNNNNNNNNNUUUGGUAAAUUGUAUACUAUGUAUGCAUGUGAGUUGUGAAUAAUAGUCCCACAUAGGUUAGUUUUAAAAAAACAAUCUCAUUUUAUUGGUAUAAAAGGAAAGGACUUCUAAGGGAUUGAAUCAUUAAACUAUCUUCCCAUAAAAUUUGUUAUUUAGUCACACACUUUGAAACAUUAUAUGUAAUGAUAAUUAGGACUCAUGUUAGUUUUGUGGCCUAUUGUUAUUUCCUAACGUGUUGCAAACAUAAAUAAAUAAAUUAAUAUAAAGUUGAGAAAAUAACAAACUUGAUGAUGUAGGUAGUGAGGAAGCUAAAAAAACAUGGCUUUUAUGAGGUGCAAAGAUUUGGACAAAGAGGUAUGUGGGGCCUUCUAGGUGACUUGCUAAAAAACUUGUGUGUUGUUGUUGGACUUUUUAGCAACAUGUGAAUGAGUUCUUUAAUUGUAUAAGCCAGCAAAACACACAACUCCUUUAGUAAUGGGUAACAUCUUAGUCGUAAACAUCUUCCAUAUCUUUCACUGAGGGAGAUAGUGACAUUGCUUUGCUCCAGUGGAACGAAACACAUGGGAUAUCCACCAUAAGGCUGGUUCAUAUGCAUAAAUUGUGGCCCCAAGUUCGGAAAAGAGAAUAUUUUGGGGAUGACCCAUGUUUUGUUGUGAAUGGCUUACCCGUGAAGCAGUGGUGGCUAUAGUGGUUGUUGGCUUUGUUAAUAGUAUGGAAAUUGGUGUCCGAAACUCGUCCAUUGUAGGAAUGAAUGAAGUCAGGUUUGAAGGUUUUUUUGUUUAGUAAAGUGAGAGUGAAAGUUUAUGAAGUUAGUAUAAAAAGGGGUUGAGGCAAUGGAACAAACACAAGAUUUAAGGUGAGCAAGACAGAUACUUCAAAAGAAAUUGGUAAGAAGGAAAAUUAAGAUGAGAAUUGAGAAUAGGAAAGAGACUCCAUUCUAUGAUACCAUGGGAUGUAACAAUAUCAAGAGGAAUAUUUCAUUUGAUCCAUUUGAGGUAGAGAUGUUGAUGUGGGUGACAUGGAUUAAAGUGGAAGCCAAGUAAGAACCCUAUAAAAUCAAAGGUGGUGGCACCAUAUGAGGACUGCCAAAAAGAAGAGAAUCCCCCAUUUCAUUAUGCCUUAGACUUUUUUAAUAGAAGAUACGCAAUACUUCUACCUGAAGAUGGGAUAUGCCACAAACUCAUAGCAACCAAAUAUAUUUAUAAAGUUUACUCUUUUUCUUUUUUGUAAUAGUGUGACAUUAAGAAGAUGAAGUAGAUAACAUCUUCUACAUCUUCCCCUUCUCUUUUUGUAACAGAUUAAGAUUAAAUGAGACUCUUCUCUUUCCUAUAGAAACUGUCCCCUCAAGAUUAAUAUAGGCGUGUGUGAACACCCAAUUUUGUCCUACCUUUACUUUUUAUCUUUGAUGCAAAACUCAAAAAUUAUAUAAAUCGUUUCAUGAUUCGCAAGAGCAUUUGGGUAAUUAUGCAAGAACAUUUGGGUAAUUAAGUUGCAGAUUAGUAUUGUUGAAUAUGAUUCAUAUGUGGUAAUGCCCAAAAAUCAACUAUGUCUUCUAAAUUAAUUUACAUGCAACACCCAACUUUCCUCUCAUUUAGAAUAGGAUUUUAACAUCUUUCAGCAAUAAUCAAAGUUGGGAAGCCGAUAGAAAAUAAGUUCAUAUCACUAUGAACACUCGGAUUAAGAAUUAAGGUAUAGUUUGAUUAAUGCUAUCAAAGACCAUAACCUGGACAUAAAGUUACUCAGGAGCCUACACUAUCUAUCAUACAAACAGUGGCCCGAAUUUGGAAUAAAAGGGUGCAUAGUAUAAAAUAUACGUGCAUUAAAUCAGGAGAUUUCCUAAUGAGUUCACCAUAGUGUAAUUGAUAUACAAAAAGCUACUGUUAGAAUCAUGAAUUCAAUAAAUGAGCAUGCCAAAGACUGAAGAAAAAGUUGGAGAGCUUGUUAAGCAGUUCUCUGAUCAAGGGAAGAUAAUGUUGCUUGGUGCGGAUGACAUGGAUAUUUUCAAGGGAAUAAGUUUAAAGCUUUUGGCCAUGGAGCAGCUUCUCAUUCGGCACCCUGUGUGUCAAGAAAGAGUUGUGUUGGUGCAGAUAGCUAAUCCUGCAAAAGGAAAAGAAAGUUGUGAAAAAGUUACUCUUGACUAAAUUGAUGAACAACCGUGACAAAAGGCUAAGUGAGAAAGGAAUCUCACUGCUCUUGCAUAUGUGCAGAAAACUAGACUACAAUUGGAACCUUAUUAUAGCAUCUCACCUGGACACUGAGAUUUCGCAUCUGAAGCUUGUGUUGCUCUUUGGUACCAACAAUUAAUGAUGAUGUAAAAUAAUGAAAGAGGCGAAGAGAUAUGGUGAACCAAAUGGAGCAGUCAAUGAGUCUAACACCAAAUAGAAUCAUCCACUACAAAAACAAACAGAAUAUAUUAGUACAAGAAAUAUAGCAAUAACAACAUCCUUAUUAAUAGAAGGGGCAGGGGAUCAAUAACCAAAACCCUUUAUUGUUGAUUUUGGCUUUGGCCAACGCCCACAAGCCAUUACCAGGUCUGCACUUGAACCUAAAAAUCCAGCAUUAACCCAAAUGAGAAAACAGCCAAGAUAACAACAGCUAGAGAGAGAGGAUUGGCAGCAAAUGAAGACAAUGACAAUAACGUGAUUUGUAGAAUCCUCAUCAGGAAGAUAUGCAUAGAAUUGUUCUUGAAUGGACACAUUAAACUAGGGGAAUCAGUCACAAAAGUUCUUACUAAUGUACAUACAAUGGAUACAAUUGAUACUUCUAGCAUACAAAUACCUCUUGGAAGAUAGUUAUAACCAUGAUUCCCUGAAUAAGGCAGAUGGUAGUUCAAAAGCAGCAAACCAGAAUACAUAUUCUCUUCUGGUUACACAUACACUUAAGUAAAUAAUAAUUAUUCCAAAGCAAUCACACCAAUCAGCCAUGAGUUACAUGAUAAAGGCCAGUUACCAUUCUACUCCAAUUAUGGUCAUCAUUGGCAAAUAAGAAUCUUCUCAAACAGUUACGUAUGCACAUAAAUCAGCAAUAACUGGGACAAUACAAGAGUUUCAAAAAAUGCAAACCAGAAGUCAUCACCAGUUGGCAUAUUCCUUUUACAGUUAUGUAUUCCAGUAAGCAUAAAAGGCAAAUCAGUAGGUGAGAAUUCAGAAAUAUCUCAGCAGUUACAUAAAAAUCAUAAUCAGCAUGAAUGGGAAUAGUUAUUGGGCAGUUUCAGAAUGGGUAUCCAGAAAGCAAAAGGCCAAUGCAACAUAAACAUACAGCUAUAAAAGGCAUACAACACACGCAAGUCAGGGGGAGAAACAUACACAAUACACACAACUAGUGAAAAAUCCAGACACACAUACACUUACAUAGCCCCAAACAGAGAUCACAUACAUAACCUAUAACCAUACAAAAGAACCAGAGAACAGUCAAUACACAGUUGUUAAAGAGACAUAUCAUAUGAGUCUAAGAAUAACUACAUUUGCAACGCAUAUAUCAAAGAGUGAUAUACCACACCCAUAAGUCAACAAUCAGACCACAGAUAGCACAAUUAUCAAGAAGAGGAUAGCACAUUCAGAACACACAUCACAGCACUGAGCAUACACUCAGAAUACCAGGAUAAUCGUACAAUCAGGUAAGCAUUCCGAUCAUAAAAGAUGUAUUCAUUAGACAUAUCAUUUAUCUCUUAGUUUGCAUUCUAAAUAUAUAUGCUUACAUUAACUGCCUGUUGUUUACUCGGUUGUCCAGAAACGUAUAUAUUUGUGCUAAGUUGAAACGCAAGUUAAUCUCAAAAAAGAUUUUUUUCAUGAAAUACAAGCAGAAGGACGUUUUACUUAUUAUACAUCUGUAAUAGCUAAAUAGACAUAUACUUUCAGUAAGAGCCUUAUAUGUAAGUUGUUAAAAUGAAAAGCAAUAACUGAGGAUGCUCAUCUUUAUCAUCAUGAUGUGUCGGUAACACGAAUCUGAGGCUUAAUUAAAGAAUUAUCUAACAAACGGAAUCAAGCUUACGGGAGAGCAUACCCCUAAUUUCCUAGUAACUCCAAUAAAGGAAUCAUUUUCCAGUUGUUAAGAAUUUGGUAAUCCCAACCCUUUCGGAAAUAAUUAAUUGAAGACGGUAACUAAAUCCAUACCUCAUUUUGGUGAGUUUCCUCUCAUUUAGAAUAGGAUUUUGACAUCUUUAAGCAAUAAUCAAAGUUGGCAAACACACCAAAAAAAGUUGAGACAACCAAAGAUAAAAAAAAGAUGGCAUUUUUUUAGGCGUUCUAGAAUCAAUUUUAUCUUCAAAAUCUAAUUAACGGUUUAUUAAUUUCUGGCGGUUUGUUUGAAUUUUUUAAUUGUCAGUUUUAUUUUUUAUAUUCUAAAAUCAAGUCAACGGUUCCAUUUUUCAUACAUAAAAAUAACCAUUGUCGUUUAUCUUUGAUAUUGAAAAGGAAAAUAAAUAAACGUUACAACAGUAAUGCAUACUCCUACCCUUUCCGUAUGAUUGGUGUUUCUCAUAAAUAAUUAGACUAUAGCAAUGUUACAAAACAAUUUAAUUGCUGAAUAAUAUUAUUUACGUUUCACUUUGCCAAUUUAUCAACUCAUAAUACUCACACUAAAACCUACAAAGAAAAAACAGAGAGUCACCUAUUCAUAUUCAACAGGUUACUCAGUGCUCAUGGGGGUUUCACUCCUGCACUUCAAUUUUUGAAGCUAUUCAAAUCCCAAUUUCAGUUUCAAUGAAUAAGGAAAUGGAGUAACAAAAUGAGAAAUAGAGAGAGAGAGAGAGUAACAUCAUAAGGAGCUAUAAAAGUGGGAAGAUUAUUCCAUGAAAGGGGGAGGCAACCAACAGAGAGAUAUAGAUAUCAUCACUCUAACAAUUGAAAAGAGAGAAUAAUUUUUUAUCCAUCUCUAUAAGUCCUAGAUGGAGAUAUUUUCUUCAUAAGUAUAUACUACAUAUCUUAUUUUGGCAUUGCACACGUCUUAUCCUCUUUUCCAAUACCCUGUAUAUAGCAUAUAUCUUUUACUUUGCUUAUGCAUUUUUGGUAUGAUGAUUUUUAUUGCAACAAAUUCAGUGUUCAUUUCAUGAAGUUAACUCCCAUACUUAAGGACACUGUCUAAAGCAUUGAACACUUUCCUAACACCUACAACAUCAAUUCCUACAGCCCCAACAACAGCUACAACAUCAAUUCCUACAAGCUCCAACAACACCUUCACUCUCAUAGACCAGUUCUCGAAGACCCUCUGAAUGUAGCAACUUCUUCCUUGGCUCGUUAGUCCAGAGUUCAGGCUGGAUGAAAAGCUACAAGGGUAUGUUGUUAAUGAAAGAAAAGCAAUGUGAAAAAAUAUAUAUUGAAAAACCUAUGCAGCAAACCCCUUUAUCUUUUUGUUAAACCUACUAUCAAUCUAUCUCUGUCUUAUGGUGUGGACAUUUCAUUUUUCUCCAUCCCAUAACAUACCCAUGCCUAUAGCCACCAUUUUUUUUAUAUCUCCAACAUGAUUAUGAUACCCUUAAAGCCCCCUUUCUACCACUUCAUCAACCUAUACAAACAACACAUACAACCCACUUAAAUAUCAAAUCUAUUCUAACAAUUAAACACUUCUAUAUCACUCUAGGAUCAUUAUUAUCCCUUACUAUAUGUCUCUUUGUGAACCUUGAUGCCCCUGUAACAAGUAAGAAAAUGCGUGUUGUGAUUGCUUGGGUGUUUGCUUGGUGGGUCACCAUGGCAGUGCCACUUCAUGCGACAUCUAUGUGCCCCCUUUUUCUGUUCCCUCUCUUUGGUAUAGCUACCUAAAGAAUGAAUAAGAGUCAAAUUUGAAUCUUUGAGUUUUAAUUCUAUAUUUGUAUUUAUUAAAAACAAUUAGUGGAUGAUUUUUUAAGCAUUUGUUGAUACCAAUUAUGAACCUUUAGUUGUUUUUGAUGUACAUUGGUGGGGCUGCACUUUUAAUUUUACUAUUUGAGUUUCCUUCAACACUAAUUUCAGCUACAUGUUAAGUAACCAGAGAGCAUACACACAUAUAUCAUACAAACAUAUAUACAUGCGUAUCGCGCAUAUAUCUACGAUAACAAGCCAUCUAUCUAUACAUACAACGUACUUUUUUAUCAGUCACUAAUAAUAUUCAAUAGCAUUUAAUGCCAUUGAUAGUUUUUAUAACAUAAUCAUUUAACCAUUACAAGUUAUAUGUUGCAAGUAAAAUAUUUAUAUUAAUAAAUAUAUUAUGUUUACUAUAAUAUAUAUAAUAAUUAAUAUAUACUUUAAUUAGUAAACCAUUGGUUGAGUUCUAUGUUGGUUAAGGGUCCAAACAUAGAACUUGAUAAUUGUUUGUAACAUAGUUAGUCAUUUAACCAUUAUAGCAUUAAUUUAUAUGUUGUAAAUGUUGUUUAUAACAUAGUUAGUCAUUUAACCAUUGAACCAUUACAAGUUAUAUGUAGUAAACAAUAAUAUUUAUAUUAAUAAAUAUAUUAUGUUUACUAUAAUAUAUACAGUGAUGGAUCUUGAUGCAAUGUUUAGGGGACAACAAUAUGUAAAUAUAAGUGAUAAUUAAUAUUAACUGAGUAACAAAAAAACAUGAUAAAAUAUACAUAUUAAUUCUAAAUAACAAUAAUAAAAAAUUAAAGACGUUUAAAAUAUUUACAUUCAUUUGAAAUGUCUUAAACUCAGCUGCAAUUUUAUAAUUUUGUUUAGUUGUCUUUGUUGCUGAAAAUUUUGUAGUACCUUAACCAUAAUAGUUAAGAUUAGACGAACAACUCAAUCAAGUAAAUAAUAGGCAUUUAUUUUUCCCAUAUCGUCAAAGUUGCACUUAAUUUAGAGAUGCUUGUAAGUUUUUCAAACAUAGAUGCCUAACGACAUCAAUAAUAAAAUAUUGAAAUUGACGUCUCAAGCUAAUCUUAUCUUGCUCAUUGAAAUUCAUAAGAUAAGGUUUUUGCAUAAAAAUCACGUUAUCUAUUUUAAAUGAUUUAUACAAAUUAUUAUGAUCUUAAAAUUUUUGCGGCAAAGUUUGACAAAGAUAAGCUUUUAUCCUCGUAAUUUAGUUUACACAUAUAAAAUCCUUAUAAACAAUAUCAACAUCUACAUAUAUAUGAGAAGUUGAUUCAUUAUCUACAACUUUUAGAACGACCAUAUUGUAUAUGUAUCAAACUACAAAUUGAAAACAAAGUGAGGUAGAUGAGUAUUUUCUUGAAGAAAACAUUUGGGUGUAGCUAAAAGUAAAACAAUUAUAGUUUAAUUAAUAUAUUUGGGAAAAAUAUUUAGGGGUAGUUUCCCCUACAUGUUUCAACAAAUAUCCGUCUCUAUGUGUAUAUAUAGUAUAGUUUAAUUAGUAAAGUAUUAGCUAAUCGUUGUUAUAAUAAAUAAUAUGAUAUUUAUAAUACUGGUAGAAGAUAUUUGAGGGUAUUAAAAAAAACUGGGUCAUUUGUUUGCAAUGAAAAAAAUAAUUUGGUCAUUUUUUCAAUAACCCCCUAACUCAGAUAUACGCAACACAUCACGUUCCACUAUAAUUCAUUGGUCUCCACAAAACCAAACCCUCAUCUUCUUCAUCUCUCUACAAUCUUCACAAAAAGUUGUCGUUUAAACCACUACUCAACAUCCCUAUUCUUCUGUCAGACAUCGAUUCUUCACUUAUCAUCUCAGAGGCACGUUUUUUUAAUGUUGUUAUCAUUUGGUUUUUUUAAGUAUUACUGGAAUUAAUUCAUGUUUUUUUCAUUUCAUCAAUGAAAUGAAUUUGAUAGAAAUAGUUAGUUGUCUAUAAUGUAUUUAGUGAACUUGUUUGAAUGUGUACUUUGAGUUUUGAAUUUAUUUGUUCACUAUUGAAUGGAUUUAAUUAGGAUUUUUGUAUGUUUUCAUCUAUUGUAGUCAUUUGUGAACUCCUCCAUAAAACAAGCUACUAGUCUUUCGUUUUUUUAAUUAUUUAUAUUCAUGAUGUUAGAAAUGGGUUGAUCAUAUUUGUAUUGAUAAAUUUAGAAAUGUGAUGGCUAUAGAUGUUGUUGAUAUAUGGAGGUUUUGGGGGUCAUCAAAACCAUAUCAUGACCACUACUGCAUCAGCCGCAUUUUUUCAUAAUUGUCUGAACCGUCAAUGUUUUGGACAGUUCUAAAACCACAACUGCAACCAUGGUUUAAAACCUUGUUUCCCACUAUCUUAAUGUGAAAAUAUUAAUGUUAUAUUAUUAGUGUGAGGCAGAAAGAGAGUCAGCCUCUCUACCACAAUAUUGUUGCUUCAUAAUGAUCAAGAGGUCAUUGGUUCAAAAAUCAUGGGCAUAGUCUUUCAUCACUUCUAAGAUAAGGCUGCAUAAAUGGCAAACACUAAAAUUUGAACUGGAUGUUAGUUUGCUUCAAUGUGAAGUAUGACUUAGUCAUAAGAUUAAAAAAUGUCGUAUUCAGUUACCGUUUCGGCAUUUUCAGAAGUCGUGAAUCUAACGUACAACUUCUGUAUAGAAAUCAUGACACCCUUUAACGAAUUUUGGGUAUGUUAUUUAUAUUGUUUAGAAGUCGGAUAUUUCAUGUAGAAGUCAUGAUUUGCUUUAACGUCUUCUACAAGUAGUUUAAAAUCUUUCACUAGAUGUUGGAUUUUUGCAUACCAACUUGUAAACUUGCAAAAUGUUCCUCAUAGAAGUCGUAGUUUCGAAUCACGAUUUCUAAAAAACUUGAUAGUCGACCACAAAUUAAACAGAUGAGAUUAACCACUACUCAAUCGAAUGGCUAAUAAUGCAUUUCACAUGGAUGCGAACUAAACCUACAGUUCGCAAGUUAGUCUAUGCAUGCAUAAUAAAUAUAUCAUCUUCAGACUCCACUAUGUGAGAUCUCAUGUACUAGAUCAUCCUAUUAUUAUUAUUAGUGGAAUGUGCACUCUGAUUAACUUGCUACAACUCGAAAUGGUAAUUUAAAAUUAUUAGGGGACUAAGUUGGUAGGGUCAAAAUAAAACUUAAGAGGCUGAAAUGAGUAAUUACUCUCAUUUAUAUACAUAAUUAAAUGUAAAUUUUUUAGGUAAUUAAACUUACAAGCAUAUUGGUUCCACAUUUGCCUUAUUGUUUCUGAGUUGAAAAUGAACGGUUGAAACACCACUACAUAGUUUAGCAAAUGCAUGAAAGAUAGAAUUCAUAGUUGAUGAUAAAUCUAGUACAAGAAAUAUAUUCCAUGAUUUCCACUUUCUUGAAUAAUGUAGAUAAAAUGAAGUAUAUAUAAACCAAUAAUCUAAAUGGAUCUAUAUAUCUUUCUUUUGUACAAAGUAUUACUCCUCUGAACUAUAAAAAUGAACUUAUAAACUACUAUCAAUCUUUAUUAUUUUGAAUUUUAUUAUAAUUUUAAUAAUGUUAAAAGAUGUUAAUUUAUAAAAUAUUGACAGAUUUUUAAUUAAGAUUUUAAAAUAAUUAAGUUUUUACUUUCUUUUAACAAAAAGGACACAUUUUUUAUUUCCACAAAAUAGAAAAUAAGCAACAAUAUAUAUAUAUUAUUAUAAUUAUAUAUAUUUUUAAUUAUAUAUUUUUAUUUUAUAAUUAGAAACUACCAUAUUUUUAUUUAAUGUAAUUGAAUAUUCAAUUUUCAUAUAUCUCCUUUGUACAAUUAUAGUACUUUUCUUUUUGUAUUCGAUGUAUUUUAUAUUAAAUUUUGUUUAUUGGAUAUAAUUUAAAUUAUAUAUUUUUAUUAUAAUGUUCAAUUUAAGGUGAGAGAGAUAAUUUCAACAUGCAAUUAAUGUUUUUGUUGGUGAUUAGUUUUUUUCCGAAUAUAGUAUAGAUAUAUUCAAUAUUACGUCACAUACUUUUUAUUGUGAUUACUUACUUAAUGAAUAUUUGAAGAAUAAUAAUUUUUGAAAACAUGAAUGGUGUUACUAUGGGAUUUUGCUCUUCCUUUUCUACAGGCAUGACUUUAUUUUAGUUGUUAUAAAAAUGGCUAACAAUAUCUUUAUCAUGUUGCGAAAUUGAUUAUUAUGUACAAAAAUAAAAAACAAAUAUAAACUUAGUAAAAAAAAUGUAAAUUAUGAAAUAAACAAAUUCAGAUGAAAUUUAAAUUAACAAAUAAAAUGGAGUAAUACAGUAAAUGUAUCACAAUAUAAUAAAUCAUAUAAAUAAAUAAAUGCUAGAAAUAAAAAUAAGUGAUGGAAAUUAGUUACUCACUUAUUAUUGUACUUGAAUGUUUUUCAAUACAAAAUAAACCACGAGGAGCAGCCUUGAAAGAGGAACCAAAUAAAAAAGUUAAACUACAAAAACUUUAGCCCAAAACAAGUGAUUGGCUGAAGUAUAGAAUGAUUUGAUAUCCCUUAGAAGUCACUUCUUUUUGUACCCAUAAAAUGAGACUACCUUUUAAAAUUAACCUAUGUAGGACUAUUAUUUGCAAAAAUAUACAUACAUAGUAUACAAGAAAACUGAGCAAAUUAGACUUAACAAGUUCAAAGUUUCAAUGCGGAUAGUAUGAGGUUAUUAAUAUGUUCACUAUUGAGAAUGACAAUCCAAAGUUUAAUGUAUUCUGUUUUAUUCUAUGAGGAAUAAGCCUAAAAUAUUAAUCCAUAAUAGCUUGAUUGAAUGUUGUAUGUAUAAAAUGAAAAGUGCCACAUUAGUCGAAAACAAGUGAUGGAUGCAUGUAUUUUUAAUUUUAUCUUACUGUACUUUUUGGCAAAACAUAAUUGUCAUGAUAUUGUUUGAUUAUAAUGUGUUGCGUUGAUAUUAAUACAAUCUUUCGGAUAUCUGAUAUUAAAAUUAUAUCUAACUAAAUAUAUUUGCGUGUGUUGUUGAUGAAUGUAUAUAUGAAUAUAUUAAUGUGUACAACAAUCAAUAGUGUGUGCUAGGGGAGCUUGCAAGCGCUAUUGUAUAUGAGCAUUGUUGUCUGUGUCACAUACAACAUCACUCCUUAUAGCGAGCGAUAUUAUAUGUGAUACGUACAAAAAUGCUUCCUAGAAGGAGCGUUAUUGUAGGUAUCACAUAUAACAUCGCUCACUAGAUGGAGCACUGUUAUAAAUAUAACAUAUAACAACACUCACGUAUGCACUAUUGAAUCAUAGCUAACAUUAUACCGUGUUCACAUAGAUAGUACCCAAAAUUGCUUUUGAUUCCAAAUAUUGAGUGCAUUGAAAAGUAACUCUAGCUUACUAAUCACACUGUGUUACAAGUAACCACAUUCAUGACCUCAAUUUCAAUCAAUGGCAAGUACUUUACAAUUACAUCUAUGAAGAUUGUCUCAUGUAGUGGGUAAUAUGUUCUGCUUAACAUAUAAAGGUAGAGAAGUGGAAAGUAUGUUCUUGGUAUCAGUAUGCUUGACCAAAGAAAUUGCUAGAAAAGAUAAUGAACAUUCUAUUUUUAUACUAAGAAAAUCGGUAACCAAAAAUAUAAAAGACUAUCAGAAUAUAAUUUCAUAAUUGAAUGCAAAUGCCAUAAUGCCACACACAUCAAUCAUUUUCUUUUCCAUAAACUCCAGAAAAAUAUUUCGAAAUUGAGAUUGUAUCCUCUAUGAAUUUUUUAUUUCCUAGAACAUCAUAUUAACUUAUAUAAACUGACAAUUUUAUACCACCAAAAAACAAUGUUGACUCAUCAAAGAAAAUACCAAUUCUCUUAAUUCUCAAAUAUAUAUAUUUGAUACUGAUUUUAAAAUUACAAUAGCAACAAAGAAAGCUCUCCCCUACUAUUUCAAAUUGUCGACCACAUAAUGUAAUGCGGCCGCUAUACUGUACUUGCAAUGACUUUCAUGACUGCAUGACACUGCAUAGAGCUCUGAUAACACCAUAGAUUUUGUUAAAGUUAACACCUUAAGGAAAUACAAAUAGGUCAGUCAAAAUUAAGCACACACCUAUUGGAGUCCCUUGGUAUACUCGACAAGUGUUUUAGUAUAAGAUGUUUUUUUUCUAAACUUAAUGAAGCAUCUGUAUGAAUUUUCAUUGUUUUCAAAACUAGUCCUUCUUGUAUUGUAAAUGCAAUAAAUAUCUGCUCAUUUAAUUUGUAAAGUCAUGAUAUCCUCGAAACGCAAUACUUAUCAGGUGUGAUCUAAGAUACUGGCAAACAUUUUGGAAGUCUCUUACUUUCUACAUAUAGUUACUUUUUUGAAAUAAAGGAUAAUAUUACUCAAAAAAAUGGCAGCAAAAACAUAGAUUUAAAGUUAAAAUUUAGGACCCAACAAAACUGCAAACUAUGAACUAUAAAAACCUGAAGCAUGCCACAUUUAUCAAUCAAGUUUACUACAAAUUUGGACUUCACAUCCGGAUCACUCAGCUUUAGACGGUGGACCAUAUAACAUUCAAAAAAUUCUAAAGUGGAGCCCAUUUUAUACAUUGUUUUUAAGAGUAAAGAGUAGACUGUAAGCAUAAUAACAAAACACGUAUACAAUUAAUUAUAUGAAUACAUUAUAAUGAAAUGCAUUAAUCUGUUAGGAUCAACAUUUCAUGCAGAAAUAUAGAUUAUUGGCUUUUAAAUUGUAGACCAUGUGACUAGCUAUAAUAUUGUGGUUGCAGUGACUACCACAGUCCCAUCAUACUGCAAUUGCAGUUUGAUAUCAAACCAAGAUGACAAUGACAUGACAAUGUAAGGGUGCAAAACUACCACAUUGGACCACAUGAAAUUAAAAAAUAUAUUUUAAUCGUAAACAAGUUCACAUUACAAUGGCUUGCAUAAUGACUGCAAUUGCUAUAAAACCGUGACCACAAUUACAAUACAAAUUUAAGAAAAACACUAGGAUUAAUUAAUGAAAAUAGUCACAUCACUUCAGUUGUAAAACAAGACAAGAACUUCCAGAACUGGUGUUCUAUUGAGGUCUCUAAGAAACUUUAGUGCAAAAACAAUAUGGCCAUAUUCUUGUACAUUAGUUCACCUAUGAUCAACAUGCGCUUCCUCCAGGUUUUCCAUAUUGAUAAUGGAAAUAUUAGUCCAGGUAGUUCCCAUUGAGAUACUCUAGAGAAGUUUUGUCUAUUAUAGUCUCCUUAGAUUCAAAGUAAAUUCUAUUCGUAGAGGUUAAAUUCUUCAACAAAGAAGGCACACAAAGUUUCGAUGUUUUUCAAUCCAUAGUAAUAAAUGUUAAAUACAAUGUUUUAAGAACUUGACAGCUUGAGAAAAGCGUGUUAAUAGCCUGAUCCAUAUAAUCGAUUUCAAAAUACAGGAUAUUAAGAUAAGGUAGAGAAACUAAUGAAAGUUGUUCCAAAAACAUGGAAUCAGUGAAUGUCAAUGAGACGAGUCCACUACAAGUGAAAAUGCUACUAGGUACAGAGAAGAUUAUAAAAAGAUCUACAUCAGAGGAAUAGUCAUAUUGGAGGUUAAGUUUGAAUAUGUCUAGGUAGGGUCCAGUGGUAGCUUUGAUGCACGUAAUCAUGGAAUAAUCCAUAGUUUCUGAAAACAUUGAUGUGAGAUAGAACCUUCAAAUGUCUCAUGUCAUGCACAUGAUCACAACAAAAGAGACGAAAAUGGAAAAAUGUUUUAAUGUAUUGUUGUUGUAGUUAUAGAAGAAAUUGAAGACAUGAUGAUACUACUAGAGGUGCUCCCAACGAGGAGACAAAAUGCAAGUAGUGACGCAAAUUUCAGUUUCGAGGAAUCGGAGGAUGUGACAUAGAAUGGAGUCUGAUAGAGUAUUGAUCGGGUUUUUUGUGGUUGUCGGGCCUUGGAGUUAAUUGCAUUUCAAGUUGGUCAUCAUAUUAACUAAGUUUAGUUCAAUCUUAUACUAGAGGGGAGAUUAUCUGAAGGUAUUUUCAAAUAUCCUAGAAGAUAUUUGGAUAUCAUGAUAUCAUUACUAUAUCUUUGAUUUAACAUAGAGUAUCUAAGAAUAUCUGUUAGGAUUGACAUAAUUUUAUCUUAUUGUUUAUGAUUUGAGUCUUUCUUAUCAUAAUAUAAUCAUUCACAAUACUAUCAAUGCAAUUUACCAUAUUAAGGGAAACAUAUAAUUAUGAUCAUUUUGUCAGUUGGUUUUCGAGGUGUUAGAAGUCAUGAAAGAAAUAGGUUUUUAUGUUUCAAAACUUCUCAACUAAGAUGAAUAUCUUUACAUUUUUUUGGACAAUAGAGAGUGCGACUUUACAUUAUUUCUAGUGUGAAGGACGAUACUGGUUGGCUCCACAUACCAUAUAAAGAGAUCAACAAAAUGGCAUGACAAUGGCUUGAUGAAUUUCAAAGAGCAAAUGAUGAUAAAAUGAUCAACAAAAUAGCAUAGUUGUCUUUAUCUUCUUCAAUUUCUUUUGCCGAGAUCAUGCAAAGCUCAUCAAAGCUCAUCAAGCUGAUCAACAAAAUAGGUUUCAUGAACAUUGACAACCACUUUAUGCUAUGUUUGUAAGAGUCCAUUAUGAAAGUAAGGUUCAGACAUUAAUAAAUAAAGGAUACAUCCAAACAAGAAAAAUGGAAGUUAAAUUUAGAGAAAUAGAUAUAAUAAUUAAUAUUCAGUUGUCUAAUAUUAAAGUUUCAUCUUCAAGGAUGGCUACUAAUGAAAUUUAUGCCAUGGGAUCAAGACUCAUUUAUACAAUAAUUAUACUAUUACAUCGAGCUAUUCCUUUGUCCGAAAUAAAGUAUAACCAUUACAAUAUUUGGAUCUAUGAAUCGAACACAUAUUUGGAUAAAAUUAUUAUAGGCCUCCGUCUUAAAUCGACAAGUAUUUUCAAAGCCUUUCCUAAAACUUGGUGCAUGUAAGUCUUAGCAAACUAUAUAUUUUGCACUAUCCAACCAAUCUCCGCCCCUUAUAUUUCUCACUCAUCUGUUUCAUUAAGACACGUGUUUCCCAUAACAUGGAAUUAUAUAACAUAAAAAACCUCAUCCACUGGUAUUGAUCACGCGAGGUUGUUCCACUCAGUGGCCCCUAAUUUAUUUUUUCUUCUAGCCUAAUUAAAUAUCUCAGAACUAUUAGGUCGUGCAUUAAUGUGUGCAUCAAAUUCAUGUAUUUCCCUCCACGUCUCAUAUAAACAAGUAGUGCAUCUUAAUUAGAUUCAUCAUGAAACAUUAUGAAGUUACAAUCAAAUGAUGGACUCCUAUAUUCACAUGUGAUAAAAUGUAUAAUAUCAUCCGCCUAAAGAAGAUAUCACCCACGUGAAGAAUUUUUCCAUAUUCUUGAUGAGCUUCUAAUUUUUUAUCAAAUCGGGACUAAGAUUUUAAUUAUUCUUUCCCAUGAUUAACAAAUCGCAUUUUUUUAUUUUAAACAAUAUUUAGUCUAGAAACUUGGGACCAAUAUUCUAGAACUAUCCUUCCUUUAAUAAAAUAGAAUCACAUGAAACUUUGUAUUCUCAUUCUUAAGAGUCAACGUAUUGAUAACCUUCCACUCUCAAUGAUGAAACUUUAAACUUGUUAAGUUUAAUUUGUGAAGUUUUCUUGUAUAUUAUGUGUGCAUAUGUGUUGACAAUAAUAGUCCCACAUAUGUUAACAUUAAAAGGUAAUCACAGUUUUUUUGUAUAAAAAGAAAUGACUUCUAAGUGACUGAAUCAUCAAACUAUCCUAUAUUUUAGCCAAUCACUUGUUUUGGGCCAUAUUUUUCGUAGUUUAACUUUUUUAUUUUCUUCCUCUUUGUGGGUUACUCCUCCUGGUUUAUUUUGUAUAGACAAAUAUUCAAGUACAAUAGUAAUUGAGGUAACUAUAUUCCAUUACUUCUUAUUAUUUCUAGUAUUUAUUUAAUUAAAUCAUUUAUUAUAUUGUGAUGUAUUUACUUAAUUACUCUAUUUUAUUUGCUAAUUUAAGUAUUUCAUAAGUAUCAUUUUUUUAUUAAGUUUCUAGUUGUCUCAAUUUUGGUACAUAGGAAUUUAUAUUGCAAUAUGAUAAAAUUAUUUUAAAUAAAUUUUUAUAACAACUAAAACGAAAUCAUCCCUAUUGAAUUGCAAGAGUGAAAUCCCACACUUCCGUGAUUCAUGUUUUUAAAAAUUAUUAUUGUUCAAAUAUUCAUCAAGUAAUCACAGGGUACAUAGUAUCGAUUAUAUCAUAGUAAAGUAAAAACUUAAUUAUAAAUUUUUCAAUAUUGUAUAAAUAAACAUAAUUUAACAUUAUUAAAUUUAUGUACCAAAAUAAAGGAUGAUAGUUGCUUUGUAUAAGUUCAUUUUAUUAGUUUAGAGAACUAAUAUUUUAUACUGAAGAAAGAUGUAUAGAUCCAUUUAGAUUACUGGUAUAUAUAUACACACUUCAUUUUAUCUAUAUUAUUCAAGAGAAUGGAAGCAAUGGAAUAUAUUUCCUAUAUUAGGUUUUAUCAAGAACUUCAAAUUCUAUCUUAAUGUAUUUGCCAUAGUGGGUUGUGGUGUUUCAACAAUUAUUUUCAUCUCAGGCACAAUUAGGCAAAUGUGGAACCAUUAUGCUCAUAAGUUUAAUUAUCUAUAAAAUUUAAGUUUAAAUAUCUAUAAAAUUCAUAUUAAUUACGCAUUUUAGUUUCUCAAGUUUUUGACGUUACCAACUUAGAUCCUAAUAAAUUUAAAUUCCUAUUUUGGUACCCAAAUUUUGUAAUGUAGAGCCUCGUUAGUCCUUCUAUAUUAACUCGUCUAUUAAGGCUUCUCAAAUUUGGAUAUAGGAAGGGUUAAUCAUUCUAGAAUUUGGGUACAACUGACGAACAUGUUUAUGGGAAAGGCCCGAAAUGAUAUUUUGUGAAUGGAUGUCCUCUUCACUAUCAAGGAAUUUAGGAAAGCCAAAGAAUAUUAUUUCAGAAAUAGAUCCAAAAAUAAAGAAAAGGAAGAUGUACCCAGAGAAGAGGUGGAUGACACAAAGUAGAAAAAGGAAAGCAGGUGUGAGGUUUUGUUAUAUACAAGUUGAAACUGUCCUAAGGAAUGAAUAAGAUCCAUAUUUGAAUCUCUCACUUUUUAUUUUAUAUUUAUUUACUAAAAACAUGUAGUGAAUGGAUUUUUAUGUAUGUGUUAAGACAAAUUAUGAAGCUUUUCUUGUUUUUGAUGUACACUAGCGGGGAUGCACUUUUGGUUGCACUUUUGGUUUUAUAGUUUGGAGUUUCCUUCAAGACUAAUUUCAGUUGCAUGUGAAAUGUGAACCUAUCUGAAAUGUCAAUUAAUUAGUGUAGUUUUUACAAGUCAAUAAUGAUAUUCAUCUACAUUUAAGCCCAUUCAAAUGGACAAGUUUAUCUUUGUUUUUAUGGUUAUUGUGUAUCUCCAAACCCACCACUCUUUUGAUAUCAUCUUCCUUGAUUAAUUGAAUAGUUUAUGCCUUAGAUUUAUUGUGAUUGUGUGUCAGUAUUUAACAUUUUGAUUAUUAAUUGAUAAUGAUGAGUUUAUUCAUAAUUUUCGGAAUUAUUCUAUUAUUGAGCAUUUGAGUUUAGUCAUAUUAUUUAUAUAAUAAUUACAUUCCUUUAAUGUCAUUCAUCUUAGGUAACACUUUCUUUAUAUGGUUAUUUCUUUAAUAAUGAUUUGGGUGAAGAAAAUGAUUUAGGGUUAAUAUGGUGUUAUAGAAAUUUUGAGAGACUAAAGUGAAUGUUUUUUCUUGUAGUCGGUGAGAGGAAAGAAGAUGAUAGAAAAUAGCAUGGUCUUCUUUUCUCAACACAUCAUUGUUUCGCUAAGUUUCCAAAAUUUGUCAGCUUGAAAUCACCAUGUGUGGCAAUGUCAGCACUUAACGUUCCAUGUGAUCAACUCUGUUAAUAUUAAAACACGAGUGAAGAUGGAAAAACUAAUGUGAUUCUACAUUGCAAAAAUGGGAACUAAAAUGGUAAGUUAAAUUUAUUAAGAACUAAGUCGGUAAUGUUGAACACUUGAGGAACUGAAAUAAGUGAUUACCAUUGAUAUAUGUAUGUUUUGAUAAGUUGAACUUUCCACAAGCAAUUUUAGGCUAUGGAACAUUAUUACUAGUGCUAUACAAUAAUGAGGAUGUUGUUCUAAUGGUACUAAUGCCAUUAAUGAUAUCUUCUAACGGUAUCUACUUUCUAUUAUUAUUACUUGUCUAGUUCUCCAAAGCCAAGUUAGCAUCUAAUGUUAUUUUGAAAUUCAGGAAGUCCUUGCUAUCAUCUAAAUUUUAGAAAUUAUAUGUAUUUUACUUAAAGUUAGCAUCUUUUUUUUUACACGUAAUGUUUAUUUUGUUGCCUCAUUGUAGAAUCUCCAAAAUUUCAUAUUUUACUUCGUCUAGAGCUUACUAAUAUGUUUGUAGACUCAUAAUUGUUUGCAGCACAAGUCUCUGAUGCCGCGUAUUGACUACCAUACUUCUAAUAUAAAGGCUCAAAGCUACCAAGUCCCAACUUGUUAAUGUUGAAUCCAAACGCAAUAAAGUUGUAUUUUACUUAUGAAGAUGGUUGUGACGUUAAAUCAUCAAAAUAAGCACAUAUAAUCAUUAUGGUAGUGUCUUAUCUCCCAUUGAUGAGUUAUGUUAGUAGUGAAUUCCUUUCUCAUCGAUGAUUAUUCUCCUGGUGAUUAUAUCAUUGUGUUCUAUUCCACCGACAUUCAUUCUCGUGGUCACUUUUUUCUUAUCAAUGAUCAUUCCGAUGGUAAUUAUAUCGGUGAUUUCUUUUCUCACCGACAUCAUUUUGGUGGUCUUUUUUCUCACAAUGAUGAAUUAUAUUAACAUUGCCUUUUUUGUGGAGCCCAUAUGAGUAUUCUACUAUUUUCUUUCUUAAAUGAAUUAUGUGUAACAAGCUUAAAGUUUACUAUGUUUGCGCUUGAGGGGAAUGUUAGCUAAUAUUUGGAUAGAAAGAAUAUUAUCUUAUCUAGGAUUUAGUUACUUUCAUUUUAUUUGAUUUUAUCUAUAAUUUAUGUUUAUAUUGUUAAUAAUUAUAUUGGUCUUUAUUAUCUUAUCAUUGUAAUAUAUUUUGCCUAUAUAAUUGAUUGGAUUGUUUCGUCUUUAGUUUGGUCGAUGUUUAUCAUCUUAAAUUUAUGCACUAGCCCCCAACCAUUUUUAAAUGCAAUAUAUAAUUUAUUUUAAAAAAAACAUUAUUUAUUUUGACACCAAUUUCUUGAAAUGUAUACAUUUAUUAUGAUAGUCGAUGAAAAUUAUAUAUUACACACUUUUCAUAACCUUAAUUUAGCAUGAUUGAUGAUUCUUGGUGCCUAAUUGAAUUUGUUUCACAUGGUUUAGCGUUUUAGGCUUGAUUGGACUAAUAUGAGGAUGAAGUAUCUCCUGGUGUGAGGAGAUAACUUCUCUCCUUACACCAGUUAGGCAAUGACACAUAGUUAAUUUUUACCUAUUUUUAAAAUAAAUAAGAAAACUAAAAUUAAAAUAACACAAGUGUCUAUUAAUAAGUGGGUGUGAGGAGAUAACUUCUCUCCUCACAACAGGACAUACUUUAUUCUCAUUCCUAAAAUGAGUUAAUUUGGGAUUAGUUGACCUGAUUAAAUCUAUUAUCAUUUUCAGAUCAUAUUUGACACUAGUGACAUUUUGGGAAUUAUGGAAGUGAAGGAUAUAUGUUGAAGUGGAGAUUGUAUUUUUAUUUUGGGAUUUUCUAUUUGUAAAUUUGGUUUUAGUUUUGGGCCCGUUGUUUAGGGCUCAUUUUCGGUUUUACUCUUUGUAAAAGAGGGAACCCGAAUUCCACUCACAUACUUUACAUUUCCCUCAUUUGGAAACACGAGUCAUUUUUCGUUUUCCCCUCUUUUUGCUCUGCUUGGGUUUCACUUCUUCUUCAUUUUUCCUUUUCAGUUUAUUCUUCCAUUGCCAUGGAAGGAUAAAUUUCUAGACUAAGUUCGUUUGGUAAUGUAUCACAACUCUUGAGGUUUUGUUAUUAAUGCAUUUUCGGUUUCUUUAUUGUUGAUUUCUUCUAUCUUAUUUCGGAAUAUGGGUUGCAUAAUUCCAUUGCUUAGAAACUUGUUCGUUGAGUUUAUCUUCGCUUAGUUGAUAUACUCUCUAGUGUAUGAAUGCUUAGUUCGUGUGAAUUUGUUAAUCGUUUCAUGUUUAUGCUGAUUUUGCUUAGUUAGAGGUUUAGGUUUUGGAACAUUGAAUUGAUUAUCGCUUAGUUAAUUGAUUCUCAACAAAUUUGGAAGUUAACAGUUGGAAUGUGAAAAUAUUUUUUGAAACCGAGGAUUGAAUUAUGAAAAAACGAACCAAAGGGAUUUAGCCAUUUUAUCACAUUGCUUAUUUACUACUGUUUCUGAAAAUAAUUUAUCUUCAUACUAUCCAACAACAAAAAAAACCCUUGUGUGUGUGAGUGUAAGGUGUUUGAAGCUUUACUUGAAAUAUCAUCUUUGGGAAAUGUCGUAGGAGUCACUUUCUAGUACUGCAGUUUUUAAUUGUUAUAUUAUUUGUAUUGGGUAUGGCCUCGAUCAAUAGUCCUUUGAUGUAAGUUAACCUUUUUCAAAACAUUCACUUCAGUCUAACUAAUGUUGAAAGUGUCUUUUCAUGUUCAACAGCAGUUAAUCAGUAAUAAAAUGUAAGGACUCAGAAGAUAGGUGGGUUUGACAAAAAAAUAUGAAUACAUUUUAUAUCUCUCAUAUUGCAGUCCUAACCUUCCCUAAGCGAAUUGAAGGUUGUGAUGAGUUGUCUAAAAUAGAGAACUUGAGAUAGAGAGAUAGUUCAUGGACGAUGAUGGAGCUACCAUGGACUAGGACGGACCACACUGCCAUAAGACAAACCAUGCCACUAUGAUAGGGUAAUAGGCUGUACGAUCGUGGAUUGUGUCUCGUCGUGUCGGCAAGACUCACAUUGACGAGAGAAUGAGGCAAUGAGCAACAAAUCUACAAACUUUGAGCAUCUCAAUGGAAAAUAGAAAUUUCAUUCUUAUUUGGGCUGCACAUUAUUUUAUAAUUGAUUAUACAUUCCUGUUAAUUAAGAAUAACAUCUACCUUUAAUCAAUAAUGAUAAAUAUUAUUCUUAUUCUUAUUUGGAUCCCACAAGGAUUAUAUUUUAAAGAUGUAUUCGAUCCAGCAAGGAUUAUGAUUUAAAGAUGGCUUCCAUUCAUGUCGAGUUAGAACUUUAAAGUUAAAGUAUUAUAUAUGUAUGAGUAAUAAUUAAAUAUGUUAGGAUGAAUUGGAAUGUUCUGGAACCCGAUCUAAUAUUUUUUUAGGAUCAUAUGCUAAAAUUUCAAGUCAACUAACCAAACAAUAAUUUAAUGACAAUUGUGAUGAAAUUAGGUCCAUCUGACAUGUAUCACUAUUAUAAAAUGAGAGAUAUGAAGGUAGAACCAUGCUUGGAGAAGCAAUCUUUUCUGAAAUUAGACAUGCACAUCUUCAAUUUCAUGAUCAAUUGAUUAUACAUAUAUUUAGAUCAUAAAUAAGGAUACAUCCAGAUAAGAAAAGUUGAAGUUAAAUUUAGAGAAUUAGAUAUACUCAUUAAUAAAACAAAUAUAUUUGUGUAAUAUCAAAUUUUAAUGUUAAGGGAGGGCUACACAUGAAUUUUAUAUCAUGAGAUCAAGAGUCCUAUGUACUAUCAAAUAAUAAUAUCUAUUGUUUUCCAGUACUUCUAUCAGAAGUGCUUACAUAGUAAGCCUAGUUCGUUUUAGGAAUCCUCUCUACCGAUCAUGAAAUGCGCAAGGGGAUAUCAGAGAUCGCUUAGUUUUCAUGUAGGAUUAUCCUGGUCAUAAGGAUUAUAAGACCGGACCAUCACCGGACCAUCCCACCUAAGCAAACCCUCAAGGUUUCUUGAUGAGUCACUGUCAUUGCUUCCCAUAUCCAAUUCCCAAUGAUAUUGCUAUCAUCAUAUCUUUCCAUUUUCUCCAACUCCAACUAAAAAUGCAAUGAUGUACACACAAUGAUCAAAGUUAGUCCACUAAGUCUUUUUAUCACUACUGUCUCAAUUUCAAUUUCCAAGAACAUCACCUAAGUUAGUGGUCUCAACCCCAAUAUAAUUUUUUUUAUUAUAUAAAUGUCCUUAGGACGAACUCAAGACAUAACUUAGUGAUCAAAAUCAAUGGAUAAUUUCUCAAUGUCACUACACUUUCAAUUGUGUGAAUAGCCAUAGGCUCUCAAGUAUCUGCAAAUAAUUCUCAUUCACAUAUGAAUUUAAUUAGGAUCAAUAUCACUAUGAUAAGUCAAACAUAGACAUUCAAUACUAAUUAUAGUAGUCCAAUAAUAAUAUAAAGUCAUAUCAGUAAGUCAUCAAUAUCAAACAUAUUAUCAUUCAACCAAGACACAAUAUUUUAAUAUUCAUAACUAAAAUGAUUAAAUGAGGAAGUCCAUAACAAUCAAGACAAUUCACUCUUCAUUAAUCAUUUUAGUCUAAGGAUCCUCCAACUAGUGAGUAUCAUUAAAGACCCCAAUGAUACAUUCUAAUAUCAAUAUGUCUAAUGCUUCUCCUUCACCUGGGUUUACGUAAGUUCCUUAUACAGCAAUUGAAUUAGUUCUCUCGUCAUCUCCUUGGACUUUAGAGUCUUUUCGUAUACACAUGUCAAUAACAACCAAAACAACAAAUUAAAUUCUACUCUACCUAAAACUAAAAACUAGUCUAUUAUUGAUCACUAAUUUAUAAAAAAAUACGAACUUGGAGUUUCAGUUUAUAUCAAUAGAAAUACAUAUAUACCACACCAUGUUAGUAAACAAUAAAUAAGUAACUAUAUACUUUUACUAUUUAGAAUUUCAAAACCAAGAACAAUAUAAAUAUAUGUGUAGUAUAUAUAGUAUAGAAUAUUUGUGUUGAAACUCUAUAUUAGACAAUAAAUUAAUAGAUAAAAUAAAGUAUUGGUGAAUAAUGGAGAAUGAAGAAUAAGUGGAGAAUGAAGAAUAACUAGCGAAUGAUUAUGCCGUAUGAACAACAAACAAAAUAAAUGUAUGAGAGGUAAACCAAAUGUAUGAGGAAUAAAUGAAGAAUGAAGUCACGCACAGAGUAGUUUUUAUUCAAAAUGGUUUUGUAACCACAGAUCCUGCGUAACUUUAAUUGCCUUGGCACAUAGCAUAUGAUUAUUUAUUUUCACAAUCACGUCACAAUAAUAGAAGAAAAUAAAACAAAUUCUUCCUUUAUUGAAUUCAAAGAACAGAAGAAUGAAAAAAUGGUUACCGUGUUCUUCUCUUUCUCUUCUACAAACUGCAGUUUGAAAGUGUAGUUUUUGUUGAUGUUGUUGUUCUUAUUGUCUCCCCACUCAGCAUGUAUAUCUUGUUAUUACCAAUUAGGUUAAUGUUCUACUUAAAAUUAAUUUUAAAUUUUAUUCUUAUCAAAAUAAUAAAAAUCUGUUUUAUCUCAAGAUAACUAAGAUANNNNNNNNNNNNNNNNNNNNNNNNNNNNNNNNNNNNNNNNNNNNNNNNNNNNNNNNNNNNNNNNNNNNNNNNNNNNNNNNNNNNNNNNNNNNNNNNNNNNAUAAACACAAAAUUUUAAACCCUAAAUCGUGUAUCUUCACCUCAAAGUUUCACCCCCAAAUAAUUUUAGUUCUCUUAAGGAUAAUUUGGAUACAUCAAGGGUUAAUGCUUCUCGAAUUUACAAACAAAAUUGUAAUUGCGAACUAUGAUGGGUACAACUGAGGAACAUGUUGAUGGAAAAGGCUCGAAAUGAUAUUCACAAAAAGCUAAAUGUGUGGAAGUUUUCUUCAUUAUCAAGGAAUUUAGAGAAACCAAAGAAUAUUAUUGCGAAGAUAGAGUUCAAAAUAAAGAAAAGGAAGAUCUGCCUAGAAGAGAUGUGGCUGACGCAAAGUAGAAAAAGGAUAACAGGUUAGAGAUUUUGUUUAAUACAAGCUAAAACCAUCCUAUGGAAUGAAUAAGAGACAAAUUUGAAUAUCUGAAUUUUAAUUUUAUAUUUGUAUUUAUUAAAAAGAAUGAGUGGAUGAUUUUUUUAUGUAUUAGUUGAUACCAAUUAUGAAGUUUUUGUUGUUUUUGAUGUACAUUGGUGGAGCUGCACUAUUAAUUUUACUAUUUGGAGUUUCCUUCAACACUAAUUUCAGCUGCAUGUGAAGUACGAACAUGUGUGAAAUGCUAAUUAGUUACUAUAGUUUUUAUCAGUCACUAAUAAUAUUCAAUAGCAUUUAAGGCCAUUUAACAUAAUCAUUUAACCAUUACGAGUUAUAUGUUGCAAGUAAAAUAUUUAUAUUAAUAAAUAUAUAAUAUUUACUUAACAUAUGUAAUAAUUAAUAUAUAGUUUAAUUAGUAAAUCAUUGGUUAAAUUAUAUGUUGGUUAAGGAUUCAAACAUAAAACUUGAUAAUUGUUUAUAACAUAGUUAGUCAUUUAACCAUUAUAACAUAGUUAUAUGUUGUAAAUAAUAAUAUUUAUAUUAAUAAAUAUAUUAUGUUUACUAUAAUAUAUACAAUGAUGAAUCUUGAUGCAAUGUUUAGGGGACAACAAUAUUUAAAUAUAAUUGAAAAUUAAGAUUAGCUGAAUAACAACAAAAUAUGAAGAUUUAUACAUAAUUUUUUCAAAGAUUCAAAAUAACAUAUUAAUUCUAAAUAACAAUAAUAAAAAAUUAAAGACGUUAAAAUAAUUUACAUUCAUUUAAAAUGUCUUAAACUCAGUUGCAAUUAUAAAAUUUACACCAUAAUAGCUAAGAUUAGACGAACAACUCAAUCAAGUAAAUAAUAUGCAUUUAUUUUUCCCAUAUCGUCAAAGUUGCACUUAAUUUACAGAUGAUUGUAAGCUUUUCAAACAUAAAUUCCUAACGAAAUCAAUAAUAAAAUGUUGACAUUAACAUCUCAAGCUAAUCUUAUCUUGCUCAUUGAAAUUUAUAAGGUAAAUGUUUUUCAUAAAAAUACACAUGUUAUCUAUAUCAAAUGAUUUAUAAAAAGUCUUACGAUCUUAGAAUUUUUAGGACAAAGUUUGUCAAAGAUAAUCUGUUAUCCUUGUAAUCUAGUUUCUAAGUACAAAAUCCUCAUAAGCAAUAUCAAAAUCUACACAUAUAAGAAAAGUUGAUUCAUUAUCUAAAACUUUUAGAACUACAGUAUUGUAUAUGUAUCAAACUAAAAAUUGAAAACAAAGUGAGCUACAUGAGUAUUUUCUUGAAGAAAACAUUUGUGUGUAGCUAAAAGUAAAACAAUUAUAAUUUAAUUAAUAAAUUUAGGAAAAAUAUUCAAGGGUAGUUGCCCUUACGUGUCAAAACAAAUAUUCGUCUCUCUGUGUAUAUAUGGUAUAGUUUAAUUAGUAAAGUAUUAGUUAAUCGUUGUAUCAUCAUACCAAUAAAUAUGACUGUUAUAAUAAACAAUAUAAUAUUUAUAAUACUAGUAGAAGGUAUUUGAGGGUAUUAAAAAAAAUGGGUCUUCUGUUUGCCAUGAAAAAUUUCAGGAUCAUUUUUGGCCAUAUUUUCAAUAACCCUAUAACUCAGAUACACGCAACACAUCAUGUUCCACUAUUUUUCGUUGGUCUCCACAAAAUCAAACCCUCCACUUCUUCAUCUCUCCUCAAUCUUCACAAAAAUUUCACGUUUGAACCACUACUCAACAACCUUAUUCUUCUCUCAGAUAUCGAUUCUUCACAUAUCAUCCUAGAGGCACGUUUUUUUAAUGGUGUUAUCCUUUGGUUAUUUGAAGUAUUAUUGGAAUUUAUUAAUGUUUUUUUCAUUUCAUAAAUGAAAUGAAUUUGAUAGAAAUAGUUAGUUGUCUAUAAUGGUUUUAGUGAACUUGAUUGAAUGUUUACUUUGAGUUUUGAAUUUGUUUGUUCACUAUUGAAUGGAUUUAAUUAGUAUUUUUGUAUGUUUUCAUCUACUUUAGUUGUUUGUGAACUCCUCCAUAAAACAAGCUAUGAGUCUUUUUUUUAGUUAUUUAUAUUUAUGAUGUUAGAAAUGCGUUGAUCAUAUUUGUUGUUGAUAUAUGGAGGUUUUCGGGGUCGUCGAAACUGUAUCAUGACCACUAAUGCAUCAGUCGCAUCUUUUCAUAAUUGUCUGAAUUGUCAAUGUUUUGGACAGUUCUGAAACCACUACUACAACCAUGAUUUAAAAUCUUGUUUCCCACUAUCUUGAUGUGAAAAUAUUAAUGUUAAAGUAUUAUUACUGUAAGGCAGAAAGAGAGUCACCCUCCCUACCACGAUAAAGUUGCUUCAUAAUGAUCAAGAGGUCAUUGGUUCAAAAAUCAUGGGCAUAGUCUUUCAUCACUUCUAGGAUAAGGCUGCACAAAUGGCCAACGCUAAAAUUUGAACUGGAUGUUAGUUCGCCUCAAUGUGAAGUAUGACUUAGUCGUUAGAUUAAGAAAUGUGGUAUCCACUUACCAUUUUGGCAUUUUCAGAAGUCGUGAAUCCAACGUACAACUUCUGUAUAGAAGUCACGACACCCUUUAAUGACUUAUUGGUGUGUUAUUUAUAUUGUUUAGAAGUUGAAUUUUCAAUGUACGACUUCUGAGUGUGUUAUUUUUGAAGUAUAAAAGUAGUUAUUUCAUUUAACGACUUCUGAAUUUGUUAUUUUUUAAGUGUACAAGUCAUGAUUUUCUUUAACAUCUUCUACAAGCAAUUUCAAAUCUUUCACUAGAGAUUAACCACUACUCAAUCGAAUGGCUAAUAAUGCAGUUCGCAUGGAUGCGAACUAACUUGCAGUUUGCAAGUUAGUCUAUGCCUACAUAAAUAUAUUAUUUUGAAACUCCACUAAGUGAGAUCUCAUGUACUAGAUCAUCCUAUUAUUAUUAUAAGUGGAAUGUGCACUCUGAUUGACUUGUUAACAUUUGCUUAAUAAAUUUUUUCAGCACUUACUAAUAGCUAUGGCCUAUGUACUGAAUUUAUGUGUUGCAAUGUUGCAAUGUCAAAGUUGCCUAUGUGUGUUGUUGAUGAAAAUUGGGAUAUGGGUAUAUAUUGAUUGAAUAGUUCUAGCCAUAACUCAAUAGGUAUAUAAAGAUAGUUUGGUAUAAAUUAAAGAUUUUUUAGAGGUAAUUCAAAAAUGGAUAAAGUGAUACUCUACGCUUAGUGUUUGACCCCUACAUUUAUUGUAUGACCAAACGUAGCUCUGAUGCCACUAAUAGUAUUUAAGGAAAGGGAAGGUUUUAGUAGUGAAAAUAGAAGUGGAAACUUAGAUAAUACAAAAAAUUAAUUAGAUUACAAUCGCUAAUAGUUGGCUUUUGGAGCUACACGACAAAACAAGCUCUAGAACAACUAACAAUGCUUUGCUUCUUACUUAUAAGCUUUCUACAACACAUAUGUCUAGGUAGUUCCAUAAAUUUCUUAUAUUACAUUUUUCUCAAUAUUUUUAGAUACUUUUAUGAUUAUUUUACUAAGUUCCUAGAAUAUAAUACACUAGAAGUUUAGGAUAAAUUUAGAUAUUAGGAUACAACAUCAUCACUUGUUUCUACACAUCUGUAGAAACUUUUAGAAAAUGUUCAUCAAUAUUUUAACAAAAAUAAGUCAUUUUUGAAGAAUGCAUGCAAUAAUUGCCUACUCAACUGCGAAGCCUUGAUAUCCUCCAUAUUCAAUAAAUCUCAAAUUUGAUCUCAGACACUUUGGAACAUUGAUUGCUUAUAUAUUUAAGAAAAUGAUAACCAACAAGUGAAAAAGGGUUGUAGAACAAAGUCUAGAAUGCAUUGUAUUUCAGAGAAGCAUCAAGGGGUGGUGUAAUUUACACUUCUAUUAUUAAAUAUUAGGAUAACCCCUUUUUACAUUUGUGAUGACUUGUCCAUGCUUUUCUAGAUUUUAAAACUUCCCAUUCUUGAGUGAGAAUUAUUUCCUAUAUUGGAGAGGGAUUUGGUAUUUUUGCUUUAAGUUUUGAAGGGUAAAAAUAUUAUCUUACUAUAAAAAAGAUAUAUGUGACAUUGCAUUUUGCUUUUACUUUAUUUAUCACAACACUUUCCUUUCGGGUACUAGAGAGGAUUCUAACUUUAAUUAUUUAACUUAAAAUUUUCACAACGCCAGAGUUGCCAUUCAACAACGCUUAUUUUAGAUGUAUAACAGCACUUUCUGGUGCUUCCUGUUUGAACGCAGUAGUAUAUGGUCAUCAUUAACAGCGCUUCACAAACGUUGUUGUAUUGAUUAUAUACCAAAGAGCACUACACAAAGCGUUUUCAUAUAGUGGAUCAAUACAACAAUGCAGCGUCCACAAAACACUGUCAUAUAGUGGAUUAAUACAACAACGCAUCGUCCAUAAAGCACUGUCAUAUAGUGGAUCAAUACAACAAUGCAUCGUCCAUAAAGCACUCUCAUAUAGUCUUAAAUAAUUAGCGCAUUUUAUAGGUCUUAUUAACAGCCCUUCUACCUGUACUAUUAAAGUUUAUAUAUUUAACAGUGAAAUAACAAAAAAGCGCUGUUGUAUUAUUUAUAAAUUUUCUCAAACAACACGUUAAAACAACUGCGAAUCGCAUGCAUAACGCUGUUGUAAAUGAAUAGCUCAUCUUUAUAUCCUGGCCUAUUAAGAUCCACUUGCAUGAACACUAACCCACAUACAAUAAAACACUGGCAUCCUAAACAUUGUGUAAUCCAAUUUCCAUAUGCAUUCAAUCACUCCAAAGUAUGACAUGUUCACAUAUAUUGGGUUUCUAUCUUUUUGGCACUUGACAUUUGUAAAGUUCGAGCAACAAGACUCACACCAUUGUUUUGCAUUUUACUUUGAUCAUCUUGUUUUUUCUUAUAAAAUGCGAACCCAUUAAUCAGCUAACCAGUGUAGGAUAAGACAUGAAGGCUUGGACCAUUGGCUAACCAUUUCAAUCUUUAGAAAACAGAAUGUGCAUUUAUAUCCAACUCCUCAUCAAUGUAAUUUUUUAGCCACUUUAUGAAACAUCGAUUAUGCUCUUUGGAAAUCCAAUUUUCAUUCUUACUUGGGUAACACUUCCUUAGCAUCUCCUUGUGUGGUUCAGCAUAUGGCUCAACCUCAUCGGUAUUAUGUAAAACAUAUAAGUGCGAUUGCUCAAAUUCGGUUCUUGUUAUAGUCAAUAUUUCAUUCCCAGUAAUACAUUAACCAAAUGUUUUUUUUUGGAUAUUGAGGCUUUAGAAUGUCCAUGAAAUCACCAUCGGUAAGAUAUCUGGUACAAAAAUCAAGAGCUUCUUCAAUAACAUAUCGCUCGACAAUACAACCCUCUGGUCUUGAUUGGUUCUUCACAUACCCUUUUAAUGUCUUCAUAUAAUUCUCAAAGGGGUAAUCCAUCUCAUAUAGGAAGGGUCACAUACUUGUGUCUCUCGAACAAGAUGAAAGCUUAGAUGAACCAUUAUGUAAAAUAAAGAAGGUGGAAAACACAUUUCAAUCUCACACAAAGUGAAAAUAAUUUGUCUUUGCAAUGCAGGUAAUAUCUAAGGGUCAAUCACUUUUCUACAAAUUGCCUAAAGAAGAAGCAUAACCUAGUUAUGGUUCCUCAAACUUUUUAAGGUAGAAUUGGCCGUAUUUCAAUAGGCAAGAAAUGCUCCAUAAGUACAUGACAAUCAUGAGAAUUAAGACCUUUUAACUUGAGGUCUUUCAUUGAUACGAGGUUCUAAAUGUUGGAAGAGUACCCUUCUGGAACUUUAACACCAUGAAUAAAUUUACAAAAUUCCACUUUCACAUUCCUCGACAAAGUAUAAGCUACUGGAGGUAGAAAUGUACACUUUCCCUUCAUUAUCGGCCCCAAUUCCUCUCUUAUUCCCAUACUAACCAAGUCCAACCUUGCUUUCAAGCCAUCUUUGGUCUUACCAGGGACAUUGAGUAAGGUACCAACGAGACUUUCAAACACAUUUUUUCCAAUAUGCAUAACAUCGAGGAAAUGUCUUACAUAUAAUGAACUCCAAUAUGACAAUUCAAAGAAGAUUGACCUUUUCUUCCACCCCUUUGUGACAAUUUCUUUCGCAAAAGGUUUACCAAAGUUAGUAUUCAAACCCUUUAGUUAUUGAAAUAAUUGGUCACCUGUCAACAGCAAAGGAGCACGACCUUCUUCAUUGUUACCAUCAAAUGCUUUUCUCCAUCAUCGAUAGUGAUGAUCUGAAGUAAAAAAUGUAUGAUGGACAAGGAAGACAUUUUUAUUAUAGUGUUCCAACCUCAUUGAAUGAAUAUUGUCUUCACAUACAGGACAUGCAAAAUGUCCUUUUGUACAAUAUCCAGACAGAUUACCUUAUGUAGGGAAAUUACUGAUUAUGUCGAACAACUGUUCAAAGUUUAUUUUGUACUAUAUGCAAAAUGUCCUUUUGACCAUGCUGACUGGGACGUGGCCUGGUGCUUGCUGAUCUUGGCAGGAGUCUGGUUCUCCAAUGAGCUGCUUGGUUACACCGCUAAGCUGCUUGUUGAGCAGCUUGGGCAUGUGUCAAGCUCGUAUCUGAUUGUGUCAAGCUUGAGUUCUACUGUGUCAGUUAUAGUCUCGUGCUAGGCUGAGCGGCCAAGCAAGGCCGCUCAGCUGCUUGCUUGAGCAGCUUGGUCCAGGUCAGCUUAGCGUGGCUUGGUCCAUGCUCAACUGCCUACUUGAGCACCUUGAUUUUGACUUCUCUUUCUUUUCGACCAUGAGUCUUUUUUUCCUCUUUUCUUCUUCUUUCUAAAUCCUACAAAACACAAAAAAAGAAAUACAAACACAAAUAUACAAGAUUGUGAUAUUUUAUACAAAAAGUAUUGUUUUAAGUUGGUUUUCUACAAUUUGCAUAGGAUAAGUGGCAUAAAAUGAUGGUGAAAAGUGUAUACUUUUUGCACUUAUCAAACUCCCGCCAACUUAAAACUUUGUUUGUCCCCAAAAAAAGGUAAAAUAACAACCACUUGGCUUUGGAAAAAGUAGGUUUGUAAAAGAUCAAAACUUAUGCAUGAUUCCUUUUAAGUUCCAUGAGAUGUGUUUAUGAUUAUGUGACUUGGACUCAUAAUGCUUCAAACUAAGAAUUGAACACAUCUUUUCAAAAAAUCAUUUAGUAAUUCACAAAUUAAAAAUGUUAUCAAUCAAAGAGAUGAAUUUCACACACGGUUCAAGAAUGAAACCAAAUGGGGUAAGUGUUUCACUCAAAACUCAACUUGUUUGAUUUGCAAGAAUUUAAUUUUGUUUUUCAUCUCAACACUUACUUUGAUUGCACAAAUUUUUCAAGAAUCACUAAGGUCUUAUUUAGGUUGUAAUGAGGCUUGGCUAUCAAAGGAAAUUGGUUUUUCAAGAUAUUCAAAGAUACUUUCAAAGUUAAAAGAGAGGAAAAAUUAAUUUUUCAUUAAAAACAUAUACUUCUUUCAACUUUUUUCCAUUUUUCCUUCCCUCAUUCUUUUUCUUGACCUUUUUGUGUAACUUCUCUUUAAUUUUCUCAAUAUCUUUUCACUCCCUUUUUUUGGAUCUUUUUCUUUACCUUUUGAUUUGUAAAGAGAUUGAGAAUUUUUCCUUGAACACUUUGUUACAUGGCCAACCAUUCCCCCCAACUUAAUUUCUUCCAUCAACCUUCCUUUAGAAAAAUGCUCUCUUUUUACUUAGAAAAGUAUAGGAGAUUAUUUUUGUUUUUCCAUAUUAGGCUCUAGGGUUGAUUUUGAAAAUAAAAUUUUAUUUUAAGGCUCAAAGGGGUUAGAAAAGGAUAUUCCUAUUUUUGGUUGGUCAUUUUUGGUCAAGUGGCUCAUUCUAAUUGAAAGAACUUGCCUUGAUCAUAUCUUAUCAAAUUGUGUGCAACCAAGUAAAGAAAGAUUAAAACAAAAUCAAUUGUGCAAAAAACUUUCUCACUAAGUUCACAUAAUUAUUGUGUUUAGCUUACACUCCCUCACAAGGUUGGUUUAUAUACAACUCUUUGAUUUUAAACAAAUUCACAAGGUCAUGAUAAAUGAUUUUCCAAAAAGUUUGCAUUUUAUCCAAGUUAUAACAUUAUGAAUUAUUCACANNNNNNNNNNNNNNNNNNNNNNNNNNNNNNNNNNNNNNNNNNNNNNNNNNNNNNNNNNNNNNNNNNNNNNNNNNNNNNNNNNNNNNNNNNNNNNNNNNNNUUUGUUUAGUUUCAACAAAUUCACUUUUUAAAUAAACCUUCAAAAAUAAACACACUAAAAAAUAAUUUUAACAAGUAAGCACACUAAAAUUAAAAAUAAACAUACUAAGGAAUUAAAAUACAGCAGAAACAGUAUAAAGUUAUAAAAUACAACAAAAUUUCAUGCUUUCAAAAUGUUACACACAUUCCCCCGUACUUAAGUACUUGACUUGUCUCAAGUCAAAAAAAAUAUUUUUAGGAAGUUUGUAUAAUAUUUUGAAAGAAUGAAAAAGAAAAUUAAAACUAACCACCAUUUUUAGGAGAACACAAAAUUUCAUUCUCCUUGUUUUCACUAUCCUCUCCUAGAUAGUGGUGCCAUCAACUCCUAGUUUUUGUCUAUUUGUUUGGACUUGUUUUCCUCUAAAUCAUUUCGAACUUACAAUUUUCUUUUGCUUUAAUGGUAGUCCAACAAUUCACAUGAAUUUAUAAUUUCCUAAGAAACUAAGUUCAUGAAUUAAAUUUGAUUUAGAGAAUUCCAACCAAACAACAUGGGGUUUCCUGAAAAUUGAUGUUUAGAAAAAAAUUUCAACCAUAUUUCAAAUCCAAGUGAUAAAAUGGAAGUCCAAACAGAAUUUAUGGAACUUGAAAAUACANNNNNNNNNNNNNNNNNNNNNNNNNNNNNNNNNNNNNNNNNNNNNNNNNNNNNNNNNNNNNNNNNNNNNNNNNNNNNNNNNNNNNNNNNNNNNNNNNNNNAAAUUAAUUUGACAAUUUCAAAAUCAUUUACUAAGGCAUGUUGAUGGAGAUGUUUGGUUAAAGUAUCACAAGAUAAAAUAUCAUCAUCAAAAAGUACAUGGUGAAUAUUUAACCUUUAAGGAUUCAAGUGGCUUCCCUUCUUGAAGAAAAAGUCCAACCACUAAUCCUUGUUUAUUUCAAUCCCUUUUAUGUUGUUCUUUAUGAAAAAUUUGAUGAGGGGCACAUCCACAUCUCCUAACUAGUGGGUUUUCACUCCACUAAUUCACUUUUUUUCUUUGAGUUUUUAAUUUUUUAAAAUGUACAAAACAUAAAAAUAAAGAUGUGUCAAAGAAAAAAUAAAUUUAUACAAAAGAGAAAGAAAAUUAUAUGCACAAUUAUUUGAUAAAUGACAUAUGAAUAUGAAAUGUUCUAUUAUUAAAGGAAUUCCCCGGCAGCAGCGCCAAUUUGUUGAAGGUUAAUUUUGAGGAAGGAAGGUUUAGGUUUUCCCUUUCUCAUUUCGGUAUGUUUUUUUAUUUGAUUAAGUAGGUGAACUCGAUUUUAUUCUUUGUUCGUCAUCUCGGCUUUGUUGAAAUAAAUGCCAACGCCGGUAUAAUGGUUUCAAGAAUAUUCCAGUUACAACUUACUUCUAAUAAUCAUGUAAAUAAGUUAUUACUUCUUUGCCCCAUCUCGGCUUUGUUAGAAUAAAUUCUAACGUUGGUAUAAUGGUUUCGAAGCAAUCCCCUAUUACAUAGUUACCUUUGAAUACCAUCUCGGUUUUGUGGAAUAAAUUCCAACACCGGUAUAAUGGUAUUCAAAUGUCCAAAAGUGAUGAAUAGUUAGUUGUCAGAAACAAAUAAAUAAAUAAAGAACCAACAAAUAAUAAAUUUAAGUGACCUUUAUUUAUUUACUCCUUUUCGGGUUUCUUUUAUUAACAAACCCAACUUCUUCCGUAAGGAAAGUUGGUAUUAAAGACUAAAUAAAUGGUGGAAUGUAAACAACAAUAAAUAAAAGUUAGUAAGUUAGCUUCAUCACUUUUGUAUAUUAAAAGGUGUUUUCAACAAAUAAAUUUAUUGAUACCACUUUACUAUUUUACAAUUUACACCUCUUUCAGGAUUCAAUUGUAGUAUAGUAUAGGGUUAUGUUGAACGACAACAAAUUUCCUAAUAGAAUGAAUCAUAUGAAUAUGUUAAAUCACAAAUAAUGAAUAAACAUAUUUUGAUGGUUUUUUGUUGUUUUGCACAUAAACAAUUUAACAAGAAAAAUAAACUACAUAUUAACAAAUUCUUGAGGAGACAAGAUCAUUUUGAAUAAGGAAAAUAUUUCUCAACUUCUUUAUGAAUUUGAACUACUUAGACAAGUUCUUAUGUUUUACUUUGAUUAACUCCAAACACCAAGUUCUAAAAUCCUCCUUUUAGUGUAUGUUCUAAAAUGGUAGAAUAAAAUCACUUACAUUUAUUACUAAACAAUAUUACGUCCACAAAGAGAUUAGGNNNNNNNNNNNNNNNNNNNNNNNNNNNNNNNNNNNNNNNNNNNNNNNNNNNNNNNNNNNNNNNNNNNNNNNNNNNNNNNNNNNNNNNNNNNNNNNNNNNNUUUUUAGGUGAUCAAUCUAAAAAAGAUAAUUAAGAAUUUCUCAAACAAGUAAAAUUAAUCAAAGCACCAACUUGAAUGAUUAAAAUUCAAAUCUUUUAGAAUAUAAGAAGAACUAGAAAUACAUAACCAUAUUCAAAAGCAAUUUUUAGGAGCAUGAGCCAUCCAUCCAAGGAUUGGAUGCUUUGAGUUCCAAAUGAGAUUUCAAAAUUAAUUUUUGCAUCUCAUUUGCCUUCUCCUUUUCUCCUAUUAAAUUAUCAACUAAAAUUACAAAACUUACUUAAAUAAAGUUCCUAAGAGCUAAGAACAAGAAGAGAGAACUUCAGAAAAGAAUUUCUACAAUUUUCAUGUUAAGGAGGGCUACACAUGAAUUUUAUAACACGAGAUCAAGAGUCCUAUACACUAGAAUUCUACAAUUACAUGGACCAAUUCUUCUUCCCUAAAUUAUGUUUAACCAUUACAAUAUUUUGGUUUGAAAUGAACAUAUAGUUGUAUCAAAUUAUUAUUGGCCCAUGUCUUAAAUCGAAGAGAGAAUUUCCAAAGUCUUUCCUAAAACUCAAUGCAUGUAGGUCUUAGAAAACUAGAUAUUUUACGCAAUACAACCAAUCACUCCCCCCUAUAUUUCCUCAGUCAUCCAUUUCAUUCAGAAACAUCUUCCCCAUAACAUGAAAAACCUCCUCCACUAUAGUUGAUCAAGCUAUGUUGUCCCAGUCCAUAGCCCUUCCCUUAUUUUUUCUUCUAGAUAAAAUAAAUAGCUUAGGACUAUUAUGUCCUGCAAUGUGUGCAUCAAUGUGUUCUAAGGACUAGUAGGUGGUGCAAUGUGUGCAUCUUAAUUAGAUUCAUCAUGAAACAUUUUAAAAUUACCACAAAAUGAUCGACUCUUAUGUGCAUGUGUGUUUAAAUGUAGUCGUACAUUUCAUACCAUUGGAUAGUCCAUAAUGAUAUUUAUAACUUUACCCUCCUACAAAGAAAUAUCAUCCACAUGAAGAAUAUUUCGAGAUUCUUGAAGCUUCCAAUUUUUUAUUAACUCAAGACUAAGAUUUAUAUUCUUCUUUACCAUGAGUAACGAAUUGUAAUUUUAAUUUUAUACAAUAUUCAAUCAGGCUAUUAUGGACUAAUAUCCUAGACUUAUUCCACCUAGAAGAAAAUGGAAUCAUAUUAAACUUCGGAUUUUUAUUCUCAAGAUUCAAAAUUAUUAAUAACCUCCCACCUAUUGACGAUGAAACUUUGAAAUUUUUAACUUUUAUUUGGCAAGUUUUCUUGUAUGUGAGUUGUGAAUAAUAGUCCCACAUAGGUUAUUUUUUUAAAAAAAAAUCUCAUUUUAUUGGUAUAAAAGGAAAUGACUUCUAAGCGAUUGAAUCAUCAAACUAUCUUAAACUUCGGCCUAUCACUUCUUUUCGGCCAAAUUUUUCAUUGUUUAAUUUUUUUAUUUGGUUUCUCUUUGAGGGCUGCUCCUUGGUAGUUCAUUUUGUAUAGAAAAAUAUACAAGUUCAAUAAUAAUCUAGGUAACUAUAUUCCAUCAUUUCUUCUUAUUUCUACCAUUUCUUUAUUUAAAUGACUUACUAUAUUGGGAUGUAUUUUAUUUUUUACUCUAUUUUAUAUGUGAACUUAAUAUUUAUCUGAAAUUGUUUAUUUCAUAGGUUACAUACUUUAAUAAGUUUCUAAUGGAUUUUAUUUUGGGACAUAAAAAUAUAUUUUGCAAUAUCAUAAUGAUAUUUUAUAUAAAGUUUUAGAACAAUUAAAAUGAAGUCAUCCCCAUAGUAAUGUGAUUCAUAUAUUCAAAUAUUCAUCAUGUAAAUAUUCAAAUUAAAAAGGAUGUACUAUAAUAUCAAGUAAUACAAAAUGAGUUAUGAAUUUAAUUAUUUUAAAAUUUUAAUUAAAAAUUUGUCAAUAUUGUAUAAAUUGUAUCGUUUAACUUUAUUAAAUUGUAUAAGUUUAUUGAAAAAAGAUGUCUAGAUUCAUUUAGUUUAUUGUUUUAUAUAUACUUCAUUUUAUUUAUAUUAUGCAAGAAACUGGAAUAAUAGAAUAUAUCUCUUGUACUUUGAAAAAAGAUGUAUAGAUUCAUUUAGUUUAUUGUUUUAUAUAUACUUCAUUUUAUUUAUAUUAUGCAAGAAACUGGAAUAAUAGAAUAUAUCUCUUGUACUAGGCUUUAUCAUCAACUAGGAAUUCUAUCUUGAUGCAUUUGUUACACAGUGUAGUGGUGUUGCAACUAUUGGUUUUCAACUCAGGCACAAUAAGGUAAAAUGUGGAAUUAUUGUUCUAGUAAGUUUAAUCAUCUAUAAAAUUUAAGUGUAAUUAUAUAUAAAAAUGAAUAAAACUCUCAUUUCAAUCCCUCAAUUUUUGAUGUUACUAACUUAGUUCCUAAUAAAUAUAAAUUACCAUUUUGGUCCUAUUCUUUUUCAAAACAGAACCACAUCAACCCUUCAUUCUUCACCCGUUUGAUAACGUUAAUGGAGUUGAUCAAGUGGCACGUUAAGUGCUGACAUGACCACAUGUGGUGAUUCCAUGCUCGAAAGUUAUCUUGCUCCUACAUAUCCCUAGAUCCAAUAGAGAAAUCAAGACUACAUAGUUCGGUUUGAAAAUGAUUAGAUUAGUUCGGUUGACUUUUGUUGAUUUGGAAAAUAUCGAUGAAUUUAGUGGAGUUGAUUUUAAUUGAUUUUGAAAUAUUCAUAAUAUAUCAUUGUUUUAAUUCAAUGGAACUAAUACUUCCCAUUUUUAGAGAAGUUUGAGACGACUCGAACUAUUACUAUAAAAAAUCCGCAAAAUUCAGUAAGUGAAAAGAUAGUUUGGAAUUAUUUUAUAUGAAAUUAAUAGCUUUGAGGCGUAGACCUUUUUCCCAUUUUCAGAGAAAUUAGAUAUGACUAUAAUCAUGACCUUACUAUAAAAUUCCAUAAAAUUCAUUUAGGAGAUAAAAUCAUGUUUAAUUAUUUUUUUAUAUGGAACUAAUAACUUAGAGGCAGUAUUGGUCGUGGACCUUCUUCCCAUAAAAUUUGUUAUUUAGUCACACUUUGUAACAUUAUAUGUAAUGAUAAUUAGGACUCAUGUUAGUUGUGUGGCCUAUUGUUAUUUCCUAACGAGUUUGCAAACAUAAAUAAAUAAAUAAAUCAAUAAAUUAAUAUAAAGUUGAGAAAAUAACAAACUUGAUGGUGUAGGUCGUCAGGAAGCUAAAAAAAACAUGGCUUUUGUGAGGUGCAAAGAUUUGGACAAAGUGGUAUGUGGGGCCUUCUAGGUGACUUGCUAAAAAACUUAUGUGUAGCUGCUGGACUUUUUAGCAAUAUGUGAAUGAGUUCUUUAAUUGUAUGAGCCAGCAAAACACACAACUCCUUUAGCAGUGGGUAACAUCUUCUACAUCUUAGUCGUAAACCUCGUCCAUAUAUUUGCCUGAUAGAGAUAGUGACAGUGCUUUGCUCCAGUGGAAUGAAACACAUGGGAUAUCCACCAAAAGUCUGGUUCAUAUGCAUAAAUUGUGGCCCCAAGUUCGGAAAAGAAAACAUUUUGGGGGUUGACCCAUGUUUUGUUGUGAGUGGCUUACCCGUGAAGCAGUGGUGGGUAUAGUGGUUGUUGGCUUUGUUAUUGGUAUGGAAAGUGGUGUCCGAAACUUGUCCAUUGUAGGAAUGGAUGAAGUGUGGUUUUAAGGGUUUUUUGUUUAGUAAAGUGAGAGUGAAAGUUUAUGAAGGUAGUAUAAAAAGGGGUUGAGGCAAUGGAACAAACACAAGAUUUAAGGUGAGCAAGACAAAUACUUCAAAAGAAAUUGGUAAGAAGGAAAAUUAAGAUGAGAAUUGAGAAUAGGAAAGAGACUCCAUUCUAUGAUACCAUGGGAUGUAACAAUAUCAAAAGGAAUAUUUCAUUUGAUCCAUUUUAGGUAGAGAUGUUGAUGUGAGUGACAUGGAUUAAAGUGGAGGACAAGUAAGAACCCUAUAAAAUCAAAGAUGGUGGCACCAUGUGAGGACUGCCAAAA